UUUUUUUUUUUUUUUUUGGUAACGGUUAUGUUAAACCAUGCAUCAUAUGAACUGUUUCAACUUCAAGAUCGAAUUUUUUGUUCAAAAUUGGUCAACCCCAGAUGAAAAUUUUCAAUCUUUUUGUGUUGAAUUGUUGGUGAAUCAGUUUUCAGUUUUCAAUUUUUUUGAGAGAGGAAAUUUUAAGCUUUGUUUGAGAUUGAAAACUAUGCUAAUUCAAUUAUGUUUUUGGUUUUCAAAUUUUUGUUAUUUAUUACUUAUUAUGAUGAUUUCAUUCAUGGUAGGUAUGUGUUGAAGAAGAUUAGAUUGGCCAAGCAUACAGAGAAGUCCAAAUUGACAGCAUACCAAGAGGUUGGUUGGUGUAACAAAUUCUUCCACUUAUUGCAUAUAUUCAGUGUCAACCAUACAAUUAUUUAUUUGUUUUAUUAUAAAUAAUAGAUGUACAUCUUAAUUUUCCUAAUAGUUGAUCUGUUUCUUUCCUAAUAUGUUGAGUCAUAGGUGAAUUGAAUUUGCUUAAUCUGACUAGCUUGUACUUGUUAGUGUCUUUAUUUCUCUUCCAUGAGUCCAUGAUGAUUUAUAGACAUGUAGUAUAGAUAUAUCAUUACUCCUGCUAUACGCUAUGAACCGAACCACUUACGCUUACACGGAUACGGCACUGACACGUUGACACCGGUGGAAAUUUGAAAAAAUGAUUUUAAUUUUAAAAACUUGGUAAUGACCGACUAAUCCGAGGGGUCCAAUACCACCGUCCACUUGAGGGAGCCUUAUUUAAAGCCAGCGUAAAGCUCUGUAUGGACUAGCCCACCGAAAUUGGUACCACAGAGAAUUGAGCCUGAGAUCUUGAGAAAAGCACACUCCAAGAUCCAAGCCUACACCACCAGGUCAACCCAAGUGGAUUAUUUGAAAAAAUGAAUUAAUUGAACGUAAUAUCAGUGUCAGACUUGCUUCCAUCGAAGUGUCGGAGGUACAGAGGCUAUACAUAUAUCAGUCAUCUGUAUGAGUUAGUUCCAGAAGCAACACUACUUCUGUACAGAAACAAUGACUAGAAAAAUAUCAUUGACUUUAAUUUUAUUUCUUUUGAAGUAAUGAUGAAACCUAUGAAGCUCAGAUACAAACACAGACACAAACACUGAUAUGUCGACACUGAUAAUAAUUUGAGAAAGUGACAUGAUUCAUUUUAAUCAUUUGUUUCGGUGUCAUGUCGGGCUUAUUUGACAUUGGGACAUGCCUAAUCCAAGGAGCGUCUAUGCUUCAUAGGAUGAAAUUUCUACAUCAGGGUUUUUGUUUUGUAAAUUGUAUUAUGCUUAUUAAAUGCUUUCAGCAUGGUAGGCAAUCCCUUAGUUACUUCGGGGUUGAGAAAAUUAGAGAUAUAAGACAUGUAAAAGGGCAGCCCGGUGCACUAAAGCUCCCGCGUACGCAGGGUGCCGGAAGGGGCCCCAUCAUUUGGUGUAUUGUACGCAGCCUUGCCUUGUUUUUUACACAAGUGGCUUAGAGAAAUAAGACAUGUUGUCUAUAAAAAUACAAAGAGGGGUUGAGCCGGAGAGCAGCGACUGGAGAGUGAUUAGUGAGAGAAUUAGAGCCAUAGGGAGGUUGCAGACCCUCAAAGUUCUGCACUGUUUCUCCGUAAUCAAGGAUGAUAUUCUGUACUCCUUCUAAUAAACUACACGGAUUCUAUCCCUAGUAUGAGAGCCCUCGUUUGUGGUGUAGAUUGACGGUGAAACAAAGGGUGAAUAAAGAAUUGAAGCAAUUGAAAGAGGGUUUCAAGAACUGAGUCAACGGGUAGCGGAGGUGGCCCGAAGGAGGCUAUUGAUGGAUGCAAGAGUCAAACAGCACCGAGUCUUUGGUGCAAAAAGUGUUGAAUAUAACUUUUGCAACUACAAACUGGUUCGCCUUGAGGAUAAUCUCUAAGCCAGGGACCCUUUUCUUCGCAACUACAAGCAUCUAAAGAAGUACAAACUUAUUAUAAUCUAUAAAAAUCCGAUCUUGAAUAUAAUUUUUGUCACUACAAACUGAUCACCUCGAGGAUAAGGUGAAUGAUUAACGCCACUGUCCCAUAGUUAGUUGGUUAAUUAGGGUUUGGGAUAAUUUGAGAAUAAGGCAUGUUUUCUUACAACAGGGGUUGGUAAGGACUAAUGAGAGGUAGAAAGUGAGUUGUGAGAGAAUUGGUGCCUUAAAACAAGGAGUUUGUUAUCAUUGAAGUUCUGCAUUGUUGUUCUCUAAUCAAUGGAGAUUUUCCGUAUUCUUUCUAACAAAAUACCAGGUUACCAUCCGAGCACCAUGUUAUAUAGCAUUUUUAAUUGAGACAAAUAUCACAUGAACUGAAGCUAGAAUUUUUAUAAAUAUAUGAUAAUAUUCUAACUUCAUUGUUAAAUGUUUGUCCUCUUCAUGGUUUUGAAAUGGUUUAUUUAUCUUCUUAGUUCUUACAUAAAAAUGAUUAUAUUGUCUCUCAUUCUGUUGAAGCUGGACCUGAUCGCACAACUAAAUUAUCCUUAUAUUGUGGAGUACAAAGAUGCUUGGGUGGAGAAGGUUAGGACAGAAUCUUUGAGAUUAUAAUAAAGUUUGUAUUUCUUAAGAUGUAUAGACUUAUUUCAAUAUUUAAGACUACUUAAUAUUUAUGCUGUUUUCAUGAUUUGUAGGAGGACUAUAUAUACAUUAUAAGCGGCUAUUGCGAAGGAGGUGACAUGUGAGUGUAGUAAUAUUCGUUAGUGACAGUGAUUAUUACUAGCAUAAAUUAAGGUGCUGAGAUAUAGUUUUUUUAUUACAGAGAAUACCAUAUAAUGAUAUCUAAGAGGCAACAUGUUUUAUUAGAAAUCGACGAAUAUACAAUUUACCUAAAAGCUUAAGCUGUUAGGGAAGGUAAAGGUUCGAAGAAUGACUUUCAUCUCUUAACACGGCUAUAACAGACGAGAACGGACCUGGAAUGUCGAUGAACUAUAAACCUCUAUCAUGUACCGAAAUCACACUGAACAUUAUACAGAGUUUUACCAUAGGAAAGUAAAUUUUAUUCUAAAAUUUUAAUCAUUAGAUUUGGAGCGAUAAAUGUAUCAGUGACUCUUAUUGUGGCCAGUUAAAUAAGUCAGAGACCUUAAAGUUUAAGCAAGUAGACCUAAGUUUUUUUGUACAUGUUAUGGCUUGUCAGUUGAUCUCUAAUUUUUUGCUGAAAUUUAGCAAUACUGUUGAAUAUUACACCUCAUCUCAUAGAUGUGACAUUUAUUUUAUGUUACUUAGGAGCAUUAUAAGCCGUUGAUUAAACUAAACAGUCUUAAUCACGCAAUACUGCAUUUUUGUUCGGCAGGGCUGAGAAUAUAAAGAAAGCUCGGGGAUCUUUCUUUCCAGAGGAGGUAAAUAGUGAUAUUUAAUGUACCAUUUCUUACUAUAUAUUUUUGAUGGAGGUGAAUGGAAGAAAAGGGAGGGAAGUGAAAGGUUUUAAGUAAAGCUCUCCCUUGUUCAUGAUCCUUUCACAUGGAAUGGAGGAGAAUUAAGGAAUUAUCAUGUAACCCUUCUUAAACCCUGUCUUAACCUCUCAUAUUUUCUUUCCCUUCAUUCUCUUUUGAUUCCCUUUCCCUCCAAAUUCCUAAACUUGGGCCCAGUUAUGAAAUCAACUUAACUAAUCAUAUAAGUGCUUAUGUAUAAGCUGUUCUGGUAACAUAAUAUAAAAUAAAGUCAAACUGUUUUUAUGUAAGCUAUAGAACAUUUUCAUAUAGCCAUCUUCAUCUUGGAGAGGUUAUGAAAAUAAAUUGAAAACAGCUUAUGGACAUGUCAUAAACAGUUUCCAUCUUCCAAACAGUCUCACAAGUUCUUAUGCAAGUAGAUAAGCUCAAAUAAGCCAAUCCAAACAAGCCCUUCUAUAAUGCUUUUCUCGUACAAGUACUGUGAACUCACUCUGCAUGCCAUUUUCUCUUUGUAGAAAGUCUGCAAAUGGAUGACUCAAUUGUUGCUAGCUGUGGACUACCUGCACUCUAACCGCGUGCUCCACAGAGAUCUUAAGGUAUUAAGUAUUACCUAUUUCCUUAUCCUAGUAAAGAAAUCCUGAUAUGGUGUUUAAAUUAAUGCAAGUUCAUUUAAUUUCAGUGUUCCAACAUAUUCCUCACCAAAGAAAAUAACAUUCGUUUAGGUAUGAACGCUUUAACCUUUGAACGCUCAUUAUUUUUGGCUUCCACGUAUCAUGUAGUCUAAAGCAAUAUUUGUAUUGAUUGGGUCCUGCAGGUGACUUUGGUCUUGCAAAGCUACUUGACACAGACGACCCUGCUUCUUCGGUAUUAUUUACGUCGUUAACAACUUUACAUUUAUCAACUUAUUCUUCAAGAAACUUAUUUGUAGUUGUUUGGCUGUGGAUUGUUAUGUCUAGUAAUUGGUGAUUUCAAACUAAAAGAAGAAUAAAUUUUGUUUUCUUUCUUUGAAAUUCCUAUCAUUAAUUAAUGAUAAUACUAUAUAACUAAAUCCACAAAUUGAAGUCUGUUUAUUGUUUGUGCUUUAUAUCUUGUGUAGGUUGUUGGAACUCUAAAUUACAUGUGUCCUGAGAUCUUUUCUGAUAUGCCUUACGGUUAUAAAUCUGACAUAUGGUCGCUUGGUAAGAGCUACAGAUCCUUUACUCUAAUUGACAACGCCAUAUGAUAUGAUAUCUGACAAUGUGUAUCGUUUUUAUUUGUAAGGUUGCUGCAUGUUUGAAAUUGUUGCACAUCAACCGGCAUUUCGUGCUCCAGUAAGAACAAACUCCGCCCUUCUACAAGAGUUUGAUGAAGUCUUUCAUUUUCCAAUGUUUUCAAGUGAAAUAAUUUGAUUAAUGAUUUGAACAGGACAGGGCUGGACUUAUCAAUAAAAUAAAUAGAUCCACCAUUUCUCCACUGCCAAUUGUUUACUCUUCCACACUGUAAGUCACUUAUUCAUGUGAGAAUAUCUCAAAAAUAUCUCUGGUCAAUUUCGAUUUCUCCUUUUUAUAUAUAAUUUAAAUGCUAAAAUGCAACAGGAAACAAAUUAUCAAGAGCAUGCUGAGGAAAAACCCUGAACACAGACCAACAGUGAGUUCAAGCGAGCCUUUCAUGUAAGAUUCAUUUACAGGAAACUGUUUCAUUCUUAUGUUGAUUUCUCUUUGUUGACAGGCGGCUGAAUUGUUGAGGCAUCCUCAUUUACAACCUUUUGUUCUCCGCUCUCGUGAUGCACCCUCUGUUUUUCUUCCGGUACAUCUCAUAAGUUGUAACUCACCGAAAAAAUCUUACAAAUCUAGUGGUGGCAAAGACAAUAAGGACAAAGAAGAAGGAUUUGUACACCAUUUGGAGCGAGUUUAUCCCAUUGAGGGAAAUGGAGACGUACAGACAAGAAAUCGACCAAAUGGUCGCAAGCUAGCAGUGUCAGUGAGCACAGAAGACAACCUUGAGACUAAAAGGGUUGAUCCUACCAGCUACUCAUUGGAAUUCUCUACAAGUUUUAGUGGCUCAAAAGACGAGUCCACAACAUCUGAAUCAACCGUUUGCAGCGUGUGCAAGGAAGCAGACUUAAAAAAUAGAGCUGUAAGAGACAUGGAUGAUACAGAGAUCACUUCAAAGAGUACCCUAGAUUUUGCACAUGAAAAACAAGUAUUUGCAACUGAACAUUUUCAGAAGUCGUAUGCGGUUGACAUAAAUACAGGGACUAAAAAAGUCGAAGAUACUUUUUCCAAUGAAGACAGUAGUGGCAAUGAUAAAGAUGCAUCUACCAGUGACGAUGUCACAUCACAAUGUACUCGAGAUUCUGUGCACGUAGAAAAAAGAUUUACUGUCGAACAUUUUCUGAAGGCUGAUUCAAUUGACAUAAAUGCAUUAACCACAGAAGAUAGAUACAAGUUUUCCAAUAAAGGUUUUGAUAAAGCUGAAUUACAGAGAGAAGAUGUGAAACCUGAGGACUUCAUUAAAUCAAUAAUGUCCAGUGAAAAUAGAUUGGGCAUUGAUAUAGAUGGGUCCAUUGAUGAGGUCACUUCAGAAAGUACACUAGAGUUUUUGCUUGUAGAACAAUUUAUUACUGAACAUUGUCAGAAUCCUAAUGCAUUUGAUAUAAAUGCAGUGACAACAGAAGUUGAAGGUACUUUAUCUGAAGGUUGUUUUGAUACUUUUUCCGAAUGUGAUUUCGAUGCUUUCUCCGAAACACAGAGAGAAGGCGCCAAAGCAGAGGACUCAAAUAAAUCAAUCAUUUACAGGAACGACUGUAAUCGAAAUGAUAAAGAGCCCGUUGAUGAUAUCACUUCAAAGAGCACACUUGAUUCUGUACAUGAAAAACAGGAAUGUACCGCCGAGAAUUGUCAGAACUCAAAUACAAUUUGCAUAAAUUCAGCGACUACAAAAGUUGAUGAUAGUCUUUCUAGUGAAGGUUUUGAUAAAGCUGUAGCACGAAGAGAAGAUGCCAAACCUGAGGACUCGAGUAAUUCAAUCAUUUACAUCAAAGACUGCAAUGGAGAUGAUAAAGAACAGUCCAUUGGUGAUAUCACUUCAAAGAGCACACUGGAUUCUGUACUCGAAGAACAGGAACGUGCCGCUGAGAAUUUUCCAAAGUCAAAUACAAUUGACAUACAUGCUGUGACUGCAAAUGUUGAUGAUACUCUUUCCGGUAAAGUUUUUGAUAAAGUUGAAGCUCAAACAGAGGAUGUCAAACCUGAGGACUCAGGCAUGUCAAUCAUUUACCGCAAUAUCAAUGACGAAAAAGAGUCUAUCGAUGAGAUCACAUCAAAGAGCACAGGCGAUUCUGUGCAUGAAGAACAGCAAUUUUCUGCUGAACACUUUCGUAAUCCAGAUACAAUCGACACAAAUGCAGUGACUACAAAAGUUGAUGAUACUUUUUCGAACGAAGGUUUUGAUAAAGUUGAAGCCAUAAGUGACAAUGAUAAAAUUGGUUUCAUCAACGAGGAUAUGGAAUCACCGAUUGUGCAUUCUGUUAGGGUUGAACAUGACCCUGAUACUGUAAGCUGCACGAAGGAAAGUGAAAAACCUGAAGCAUUCACAGAGGACUCACACAUGAACAUUCCGGCUUCUGAGAGCAAUGAUUCACUUCCAGCCAAUUAUGAAGGCAGUUUCACACAUAAACACGAUAAAAAUGCCUCUGUUGAUAAGACACCAAAUGAAAUUUCCUUAAGCACAAAUAUUUCACUAGGGGGUGACAAAACAAAGAGGUUGUUGAAAAAUUCCGGCCAACAAAGAGCUGAUGCUUUGGAGUCUCUGCUUGAGUUAUGUGCACAUUUACUUAAGCAAGGAAAACUGGAAGAGCUUGCUGCGGUGCUAAGACCGUUCGGAGAAGACACAGUUUCAUCCAGAGAAACAGCUAUAUGGCUGACAAAAAGCCUCAUGUCGUCGCAAAAAUUUCAUCCGGAAACCUAGUUUGGUGAGAGGUUCUCAUUAUGUAUCAUUGAUUAUUAUUAGAAAAAUGUGUAUUUCAAAAAGUUACAUGAGUUUGUUCAUUUGAGACUCUUGCUUGAUUGAGGAUUGGAGGCUUGGAAAAUUACAUCCCCAUAUUUUUUUCUUGGUGAUUUUUUUACUGUAAAUGGCUUGAUUUAUAUUUGAGAACUGUUGAUAUGUUCAUUCGUGUUUUUCUGUAAGUUAUAUGGCUUUGAUUGUAUCAAAAUUAAAUAUUAUCAUGUUUCCUCCCUUUCUUGUUUUAUUUAUUUGUUGGAUUUAUUUAGAAGAUAACUUAAGAGGUAACCUUGACGCAACCGGUAAAAUUGUUGUCAUGCGACUGAAAGGUCAAAGGUUCAAGUACUGGAAUGUGUACAAUACACCAAAUGAUGGAACCUGCUCGCAGAACCUGCGCAUAUGCGGGAACUUUAGUGCAUGAUUCACUUGUCCAGUAUCUUUUACAUUAAACUGUUUUUGAUUUUCUGGUUGUUUUAGUUGAUACUUUUUGUUAAUAACUAUAAAAAUACUAUCUAUAUAGAAAGGACAUUUUGUUUUAAAAGGAAAAUCACAUAUUAAUUUCAUAAUUAAUGCCUAAGCUGCAAUUUUUGUGUGGUUAUUUUCUUCAUGUAGCAAUGAUGUAAGAUUUAUAAAGCACGUGUACUGAAUAUAUAUUGACAAUGUAAUUUUAUACAUGCGAUUAAUGUCAUUAUGUUUAAAUUACUUUCUCAAACAUGAUCUACAUGGUAAAAUAAGAUCGAAAGCAUUUGUAUUUUUUUUUUCCAUGUACUUUUAUGACAUAGCUUUAAACUCUUAAAUUCUACAUAAGAAUAAUGACAGAGAAUUGUGGAUUAACAUAACUAUGAAUUCAAAUUCAUUUUACAUUUUCAAUGGUUACAAAUAGAGUAAAACAUAUCAACACAUAAUUAUGGUUAAUCACUCUUUAUUCCAUAUAAAUUACAUUACAUAUAUUGUAUAAACUUCUCUUCCUGUUGCCCUUCACAUGUUUUCCGAGUUUACUGGAACAAGGCAAAGAAAGACAACAAUGAGGCGCCAACCAAAGAACCAACAACAGUUGUCGAUGCACCGCUAGCAGGGCCAGGGGCUGGGGCUGGGGAAGGAACCUCGUGAGUGGCAGCCAAUGCUGCACUCAUGGAGAGAGCGGCAACGAGAACGGCGCAUGUAACCUUCUUCAUGUUCAUGAUGAAAUGUGUGUGAACUUUGUAUAAAGAGGAAAACUGUGUUGUUUUAUUGAUAUUGUCUUUGGUUGCAUGUAUUAAGGUAGAAUGAAUGAGCUUUAAAAGACAUGGUUUGAAGUUAUUUUGGGCAAAAUGUUACUUUGGUUGGUUGUUAAAAGGUUAUGUAUGUAUGGCUCUCCAAGGAUUCAGGGUUCUCUAAUUGGUUUUGUACUAUAAUAAAAUAAUUGAUAACCAGUUAAUGGCUCUCAAUGAACGCUUACAAAUGUAUUUUAAUAUUCCACGACUUUUCGAAUUAAUCAACUCUUUAUCAUCCAAACCAACUUAAAAUUUUUACUCAUCAUUCGUUAUCUUAUCUUAAUACAAACAUUAUUUUCUUUGUUACAUGAAUAAAAAAAUUGAAAAAAAGUAAGAUGAAAUCUGAUCCCAAAUUUUUAUGUGAAUCAUGAUAUAAUUGGAAAAUUUGUAAAAAAAAAUGAGAUAUCUAUCUUUUAUCUAUUUCAGAUUUUAUAAAAAUAAAAAUUUAAAAUCUUCUCUCAAAAAAUAUUUUAUAUAGUUUUUUUUUCAUACUAAUUAUGCGGGUAAUCUCUUCAUUCAUUCAGAUCAGAGGAGCUACACACUAUAGAAAAUAAGAGAGAACCACAAUUCUCAUAUCGAUGAUAUCCAAUGGAAUUGGAUAUAACCCAUACCUUUCGAACCCUUUUAAUUUACAAAUCAAUCACCAUCAUAGUUCAUAUAAUAAUAACUAGACGAUCGACCCGUGCGUUUAUUUAACGGUAAUAGGUAAUAAAAUAGUUUAGAUCAAUGUCAUGAUUGUCAUAUAGUAUUUCAUAAUAUUAAGAAGCAUAGACGUUGAUACUGUACCACAAAAUAAUAUUUCCAUGACAUCGUCCUUGGUACCGUAACGUAACAUAAUAGGUGAAGUACAACGAGACGGGUUAACAUUUAUAAGUAAAAGAUUAAGUUAAGUACAGCGAGACUGGUUAACGCUUAUUCCUUUAUUUUUUAUUUUAUUUUACUUCAGAUAAACAUUAAAUGCAAAAGCGUGGAGGGAAAAAUUAGGUUAAGUAUAGCGAGACGGGUUAACAUUUAUAAUAAUAAUAAUAAUAAUAAUAAUAAUAAUAAUAAGGGUCUUGUUAACUUGUGCCCUUAGGGCACAAGAUAAGAAACUAAAUAAAGAAUUUUAACUUUGAAAAUCGUGCAUUCAAUACCUUAAAAACUUAAAAAGUUAUCUUUUCAAUACAAUAUUUAUUAUUUAAUUCUAUUUUAAGAUUCUUAUAUUGUGUCCUUAAGACACAAGUUAACAUUUCCCUAAUAAUAAUAAUAAUAAUAAUAAUAAUAAUAAUAAUAAUAAUAAUAAUAAUAAUAAUAAUAAUAAUAAUACAUAAGUUUACUUUUUUUUUUGAAGAAAUAUAUGCUUACUUUUUAAAAUUCAUACCUUUCAGAAAGAUUUUGAUGCUCUUAUACAUUUUUAGUUCCUAGUCAAUAUAAAUAUCACUGAUAAGUAUAGUAUAUGCAAAAUAUCCCUAAUGAAUUUAUAAAAUAAUGAAUUUAUAAAAUAUAUAGCUAUUCCAAUAAUAAUAUCAUUGAUUGAUUGAAUUGCUAUUAGUAAUAAGAUGAGUAAAUAAAAGCAUAGUAAUAAGGAAUGAGUUGCAUAAAUGUUAUAAUAUGUGAAAUGAAUUAUUUUUUUAAUAGCUCCAUUUUUUCUUAUAUGUCCAACUAGAUGUUAGAGACUACUCCUUAAUCCUGAGAUACGAAUAUAUAUUUUUUUUCUCGUUUAUUUAACCACUCCUUAAAAUAUCGUUACUUUUCUAUAGUACCUAUCGAAAUUGAUUUGAACUUGAGAAUUUAAGAGGAACACACAGAUCUUAAACCAAUGCGGCAACACCACCAAACAAACCUAAAAGAGUUAAGUGGCUUUCUAAUUGAUUCUCACAAAGAAUUCAAAAUAAUCCAAUUUAAAUUCUAUCUUGUUUGUGACAUCUCUUAAUGAAAGUAUUUCUAGAAGCUUUCAAAACCAAUCAGAAUCGUUGCUAUGUCAAGGGUGCUUUGGCUGUACUGAAAGAGAGUUCCCACCAUAUUUGCACUGAAUUUAGAAAAGAUAGACUGCCAAAUAAUUCCUUUCACGUUUCUUCUCACUUCUUUUUUUCCUUUCCAAGUAACCAAUAACUUCAGCAAAAGCUUUUUCAGAAUCCAAACGUGCAAGUCAUCCCACUCAUGCGGGAAAAUCAAGAGUAUUCCAUAAUAAGCUACGAAGCACUGAAGGAUAUACCAAUAUUAGACACGACACUAAAAUUGACACAUAGACACCACUGAUAAUUUAAGUAAACAGAAGUGAGUAAAUGUAAUCACGUAUAUAGAUAUUGUGUCAGACACCAACACAUGUCUGACACAUCAAAUACAUCUUUAAUCUAAAGUGUCGGUGCUACAUACUGUAAGUGUUCGUCACCUUAUUUUUGAUUGAUAUGCCACCUUUUACCAACUACCUUUGAUUGGUCUUGUGGGGUCUUUAACAUCCUUAAAAGGGAUAGUAACAUUGACAUAUCUUAAUGUUUAAUACACCAUUUCACCAACUUAAAAAUGAUUCCUUUUGAUGUAAACUUGAGUAAAUUAUAUAUAUAUAUAUAUAUAUAUAUAUAUAUAUAUAUAUAUAUAUAUAUAUAUAUAUAUAUAUAUAUAUAUGUCCAAGUCUUGGUUCUAUCAUUGAACAAAUCCUCUCCAGUCCCUUUGACAGAGUAAAACAAACACAUUCUGUGGAAAUGGCAUCAUUUGGUAGCAUCACUGCUAACAUUUUGAUGGCAUUGAUGUUUGUGGUCAUGUUUUGUAUCACCAAUAUUAUGGCACAAGAUUCAGGGAUUGCACCAACUGGUCAGUUGGAGGCUGGAGCUGGAUUUUCAUUGCCUGUUUCUAAGGUGGUUUUGUGUUCUUCUGUUUUGGCUUCUCUUGUGGCAUUUAUGUUGAAGUGAAUUUGAAAACAAUGGAUUUAAAUUUCUUAUAGCAAUUAUAAGUUUAUGCUUGUUUGUUGAAAAUAGUAUUGUAUUGAAAACUAGCUUUAUUAUUUGUACUAGGCCUGUAAUUUGUACUCACCUAUUUGGUGUCUGUUGAUAUAUAUAUGUAUUUGUUGAAUUCAUUAUAAUUGAUUAUUUUUGUUGUUUCAUUUAAUUAAAUUCUUAAUAAGUAUCUUUCUUCUUUCCCUUUGCAUGAUGUAUUGAGAAAAAUCCAAGUACGAGGUAUAAGUCUAGGAAUGAGUUUAUGAAGAGUGGUGGCUCAGAAACCAAGAGAGAAUCCUCUGAGGCCGUAAAGUAGAAAACUUAAACUUUUCGCUGAUUCUUUCACUCAAACUCAACUCCGGAUUUGGAACCUUGCUCUGGUGCCAAAAUGGCUCAGAAACCAAGAGAGUAUCCACUCUCUAACUCUGAAAUGAGAAACUCAAGUUUUUAUAUAUUUCAAUUGAUGUUGAUACAUGAAGGAAGUGGUCUUAUUUAUAGCAAUCCUAGAGGCCAGAUUGUAGUUGAAAUAGUAAUAAUAAUUAACACAUCAAUGGAAACACAAUCUAGUAAAAAUAGAUAUUGUCAAACAUGGUGGCUUGUUGGCCUUAUUGUCAAUAGUAGGGUGGUGAAAUUGGAAAGCUAGCAUGGUAGGGUGGUGACUGCAAAGUCUAUGCCAUAUGAAUGUCUUUCUCUGUAUCAAGUGGAGUAGUGCCAGAAACACUCACUAACACUCUUUCACUAAAACUCUCUUAUUAAGUGAAAUUUAUGAGAGUCUCCUAUUUUUACCUGGAUUUCACCACUUUAUGUAGAACCUAUUUCCAUGCAAUAAAAUAGUGAGUUUUAAAAAAAGAGUGUUAGAGUGAAGCUUGCUAGUUCCUACCACUCAUCAUAAAAAGUGACAUCAACCCUCGCCUUACAAGUUGAUUUUUUAGGGUUGAAUUAGAUUUUAUAUGAAAAUCUAAUUCAUUCAAGCUACCAACAAAAUUAGCCACGGAUGUCAAGGUGUAUUGAGAAAAUUCUUCGUCCCAAUUUAUUUUAUAAAGAGUGAUACCCUCACCUUACAAAUUGUUUAUAAGAAUGAGUUAAACAAAUAUAAAAAAUUAAAUGUUUCUUUUCUGUAAAAUAAAAUAAAAAAUUGUCCAAAAAUAUUGUAUUAGGACAAACUGAGUAAAGUAUAUAUAUACUUCGACAUAGAAGUAAAUUUUCUAUUAUUAUAUUGAAUGAUAUAUACAAUCGGUUCCACCUAUUUUAUAUAUAUAUAUACAUAACAAGUAAUCACAACAUAACAUUGUACAAAUUAGCAGCAGUUAGCUAACUUUCCUUUCAACUUUCAACAUUGAAAAGAGAAUGAGAUAAAAAGACAGUACAAUGUUCAAGAAACAGUUCCUUUGGAAUCCUUCAUAUCCAACUCAUGUUCUGCUACCAUAAUGCAUGAAUCUGCUUCCAGAGAUGAGAUUGAGGCCUUAUCUUUGGUCGAUAGUUCCUUUGGCGAAUUAAGCAUUUCUGUUGUGCACUGCACGUCUGGCGUUAUCCCGACCUGAUCUAUGUCAUGAAGGGCGGGUGAUACAUAUUUUGCCACUGUAACAAAGAGGGCUGAUCCAUCAUGAAGCUGAGUUACACUCUGCAAUGAGAAUGAUACAUUCCAUGAGAUUGACAGAAAUUAAAGGAGUCUCGGAACACAUGAAGACGAGAACAUACAUGAAAGGAGUCCAAUGGACACUACACCGACAAAGACAUGUUGGUACUGGUAAUUUGAGAAAAUAGAAUAAUUCAAUAUAACCACAUGUAUUAGUAUUGUGUUCGGGUCAAGCACGAUACAUGUUAGUUUCGGACACCAGACAUGCCUUCAAUCUGAGGUGUUGGAGCUAUACACCUACCGUCAAUAUGCUUGGUACACGCCUUUUAAACAGAAAACACUCUUAUGGAAGACUCGUUUGGAGUAUAGAUGCACCUCAUAUAUACAUUACAUUACCUCUUUUUUCAUGAUUUUCCUUUUGGAAAUAUUACUUAAUAACAAGAUUUAAAAAAUAAAAACAACACUGUAUGAUCAUUAUGUAACAAAAAAUACUGGUACCUGAAUCUUUCCUUUUCCAAAUGUUUUGUUCCCUACAAGAAUUGCUCGACCGUUAUCAUGUAACGCCCCAGCUAAAAUCUCGCUGGCACUUGCACUUCCCUCGUUGACCUGUUGAGGAAACAAAAAUUGCCAUUCAUCAAUUUAACAUUCACGGAAACUCAUGAACCACUUGAGCGACGCAAUCACUUUUGGAUCAUGUGGUACAAAAUAAAAAGGCAUAAUCAGUGUUAUUGAGUAACUAUAGUUAGUACUCACAAUCACUACAAGUGGAUCAUGUGUUAUAGCAUGUCCAUCGAUCAUAUUGAUGGGAGACAUGUUUCCAUCUCUAUCAAUCGUAUUCACCAGAGUCUCAUCUCCAUCUAACCACAUCUGAGCAACAUCAAGGCCUGCUUUUACCAAACCACCCUGCAACAAAGUUUCAGGUAAAAACGUAGGAAAACACUUCUAUGUUACACCGAUCCAAAGAUGUGGUAAAACUGAAAUUUUCAUGAAAAUGGUAAAUUACAGGAUUGUUCCGUAGAUCAAGUAUGUAUGAGUGUACUCCUUGAUUUUUCAUUUCCUGAAUAGCAUUUCGCAUGUCAUCAGCAGCACUCUGUCAAUAAUAAACUUUGUUAAGUGCUUAUAGCACAAACCUUAGCAUAUAAAUGUUUAUGUUUAAACAAUUUUCAGAACAAACGAUAAAAUAAAGUCGAUCUGUUUUCAUUUAUGCUAUAAGAUGUUUUGAUAAGUUAUCCUAGAAAGCUUACGAAAACAAGCUGAAAACAUCUUAUCGACAUGUCAUAAGCUGUUUCUACAAGUUCUAUCAUACAGUCACACAAAUGCACAUGCUAGUAGAUAAACUCAAAUAAGUCGAUCAAAACUCCUAUAUUAAGAUAAAGUUUGUACGGGAAGUAGUUAGAGAUCAAAACAGUAGCUGGUUUAAAUAUUUUCUAUUUUAGCAAAAUAUAGACAUCCGGUUUUUCUAUAGGUGAUUCUUCUGCUCACCUGAGAGAAGGUUGACAAUUUCACAUAGCCGGUUUUUAUGACCUGCCCUUCUGAGGAUCUGUGAGGAAUGAUGGCACUUGAUAUUGGCGAGAGCUUGAUAUACUCCCUUGGUAAUUUAACCUAAAUUAUAUAUUAGACCAGCAACGGAAUAUUGUAAAUUUUGAAGUUCAAUCACAAAGGGAAAAGAUUUUCAGCUGAGUAUUAAUUGCAUUUGUACAUAAGAACAUAAACUAAAAUCGAAGAAAUUUUCAACUUUACCUCUCGGAUAUAAGAGUUUGUACUUGAAUCUUUGACCUAGAGAAGAUAAGUUUUCAAGUUAGUAUCUAGUACUAUACUCAAAUGCUCUAGAAAACUUGUAAAGAAUGAAGUGUUGAAGCUACAGAUAUUUCCAUAAGCACUCUCUAUCGUACACUAUGUUCAUUUUUUAAAGUAGUCAAGGUUCAAAUGACCCCUAUUUCCAAGAAAAUGAAACUGAAAGUUGAAAAUAGAACUCUAUGCAACAAAAGAAAACAAUGUUUCGAAGACGAUCAUAGAAAAUAUGUCUGAGGCAUAACUCAAUAGUUCGUCCAAAAAAGCUUGUAUAAAAAAAUGAAACUAUGAUACUUCACAAUGGACCUUUACUGUAACAGUUGUUCCAGCAUUCCCUCUAAGCCUCUUCGCUGCACCUUCACUAUCAAUGCCAUUAAGCCUCUCCCCUGCACAAUCAGAUCCAUUUUCAAACAAAAGAAAAUUACUAUUUCAUUUUCAGAAGGACUAAUAAAAUUUUACAGAAAAUCACUUUUUACAGCAUCAUUCUACAUUACUGUUUUCAAAUUAAAUAUUUUAGAAUAACUAACUUGGUCAGUACCAUUUAUUUCAACUAAUUCAUCUCCUUGAUGAAUACCGGCACGAGCAGCUGGACUGUUUUCUAUGCAUGACAAAACAACCUGUGAUUUUCAGAUAUUUUUAUUUUUUUUUAAAAGACAGACAAUCAUAAUUUAAGAACGGAAAUCAACACAGGUUCAAUACCGAGUUCUAGCUACUACCAAGAAUUUUGAAUGGAAAAUUGAACGAAAAGCAUGAUCAAUUGAAAUCAGAACAAUAAGCAUGAAAAUUUGAAAGUGUUGUUUGCAAGUAACUGACCAAAUGUCCUGUUCUUGGCUCAACAUUUAUGAAGAGGCCAACUCCUUGUAAGUUUCCAUCACUUCCGAUUCUAAAUCCUUGAUAUUCCUGUAAGUACGAAUCACCGUUAAACAUAAGACUUUAAUUUGAAUACAAUGUCAUAUAAUAAUUUUGACACUGUCAUGUAAACACGACCAACCGUAAAUAGGACUUUUAAGAUAUUUAUAAUUAAAGUCAGAUACAUUUAAUGAUCCGGCCAUUACAGUUCAUUGGUCGCGUAAAAAAUCUUUACACUGACAGUGCAUACCAAUCAAUAUGACCUUGAAACAGAUUUGUUGAUCUAAGAAUGGCAUGGCAUCAUUUGAACAAUCUAUUUCACAUGUUAGCAACACUUUAGAAUAGGCAAUAACAUUAUCAUAUAUUGGAGCUAUGAUCCUAUCUUAAGUUACUACUUUUUCUAUUGACCGACCAAGAAACGAAAGUAAGUGAGAUUUCAGAAAAAGAAAUCUUAUUUGUAAGACCUUCGGACUAAUAAUUCUAGUGAAAGGAUCUCCUAGUGUAGAAAGCAUUCCACUGAUUUUGGUGUAGGCUGCAUCAGCUGAGUUCAAAGGAAACAUUUCCACCAUUGUUUGCUGCAGCUUCAUAUCCCAAUCUACAAGCAAAAAUGUACCUUUUGUUAUUUGAUCGUUCGAUGUAAUAAACAUCGAUGCAUUUAAAGAAUACAUUUUAUUAUUCCGAUAGAUGUUAGUAUGAUGCAUUCUAUAUACAUAGUUGGUACUUGAAGGCUGAAGCUUAAGAUAGAAUAUGAUUAGAAAUGAUGAGAAAUACCUUGAUGAUUAAAUGUAGGAUCAACAAAUGUUUCCCGAAUCAAACCCCAUGCUUCAACAAGAGUUCUUUGAACUGCAUUCACCUAGCAACAAACCCUUUUCGACUAAGCACGGUUCAUGUUAAUUAAGCUUAUGAACAAAUUAACAAACUCGAGUAUUCAGGGACGGAUCCAGUUACAUUUAACUGGAUCUGUCCCUGCGAAUAUUAUCACACUUAGUAUGCUCAAAGCUUGCAUAACUUUAAUCUUCCAAAUUCUUAGUUUUAUUUAGUAGUACCCUUUGAAUUAUAAUGCAAAAUGGAGUACUACUUAUUUUGGGCACACUAUAUGAAUACAACCAAUAAAAAACAAUUAAAAUAAUACCAACAUGGGUUUUGUCAUUUUCUUAUCAUUAUUUUAAUGUGUCCAUAUGAUUAUUUUUCUCUUUAUGGGAAGGCAUCAUAAGAUUUUAUCAUUAUUUUGUUUGUUGCAAAUUAUAAAAAACUGAUUUAAUAUUCAAUAAUUUUGAGAUUAAAUUGUAUAGAAUUUUAAGAAAAACAUAAGUUAUUUUGUGUUUGUCUACUAUAAAAAUUUAUUCAUUUUAAAAAAAAAAACUAAACUUAAAACAACUUCACAAUUUAAAGCAAUUUUAAGAUUUUUUUUUUUAAAUUCUCAAUUUAAAAAAAAAUGGUAAAACAAGCAUAUGAAAAUUUCUCAAAAGUGAUUAACUUUUUAAAAACAUUACAACAAAAAUACUUUUAACUCUUACGCCAUUUCAUUUUUUAAAAGUUAUUAUCACUAUUAAUAGAAAAAUGAUUUUUUAACAACAAAAUUUACAUGUCAACUAUGGUAACUAAUAUAACUGAGAUUAUUUUAAACCCUCUUUUUCUAACACACUUUUCUAUUGCGUGGCUUUUACACUUUGAAAACUUGUUCUACAUACAGUGGAAAAAAGUGUUCGUGACAUUUCUUAUCAUAAGAGGGACAUAUAGAUAGCUUAGCUCAGUUGGUAAGAACAAUGCAUAAUAUAUGUAAGGUUCGGGGUUCGAACCGCUACCAAAAAAAGGGACAGAGAGAGAGAUAUAUGAGCUGACCUCAGGUGCGCGUGAAACAGGAAAAGCGACGGUAAGGGAUUGAGAGAGAGCUGUUGGUGCAUGACAGAAAAUAUAGAAAGAAAGAGCAGCUGAAAAGCCAAAUCUAAAAGCACUUUUUGCAGCUGAUUCAAUUUUUUCCACUACCACUACCUUAUUCACCUCCUUCUCUUCAACCUCAAACGACACCUUCCUCUUCCGUGAUGCCCAUGUUGUUGUUGGUUGUAACCAUAACCUAUGAGGAAACAAACCUACCAAAUUUGGUUUUGAUACUUUAGGUGGAAUAUUUAUUCUUGCUUUAACAUCAAAGUUCAUCAUUAUUGUUUAUUUCUUUACUUUGAUUAAUCUUGGAGGUGAAUGACCGUGUAAAAAAUUUGGUUUUGAAGUUGGUAGUGACGGUUAUUUAUGUGUUGCUGAACUUGACACUUGUAGUAUGUGGACCCUACUUGAAUCUUCUUCGGUUGUGGCCAUGCUUGUUUCUUAGAUACUCUCCUCUUUGCUUCCGUAUACGCAUCUUACCAACAAAUAUCAACCGCUUAUCAUUUCAUAAAUUCUUAGUUAUCUGUUAAUAAAAGGUGGAUAGAGGUUACUCAUUUGAGUUGUCAAUCACAAUCAUCUUAAUCUAUGUGGUUUGGUCUUGUUGUUUUGUGUCAUUUUGAAUCGUGUCACAAAACUCUCUGAUUUGUCUUAAAUCGAUUCAUAAGAAAUUUGAAUCGUAUCAAUUUUCAUCCCGGAUUCACUUGAAUGAACUCAAUUGUUUUUUAAAUCGUAUCAUCCUUCAUACUUCUAUGGUCUAUUUUUUGUUGUCUGAAUUGAUUCAAGCAUCCUUAAAUCGAUUCAUAAGAAAUUUGAAUCGUACCAAUCUUCAUUCUGGGUUCACUUGAAUUGACUCAAUUGUUUUUUAAAUCGUAUCAUCCUUCAUACUUCUCUGGUCUGUUUUUUGUUGUCUGAAUCGAUUCAAGCAUUUAGUGAAUCGAUUCAAUCUGUUAAUUUUGUACAAAAAUUGAGUCUUUUCACCCUUUCCUAUAUAUACACUUCUCUCCACAUCACCGAAGGUAUUGAAUCAUUUGAAACUAUUCUCUCUAGGUCUCAAAAACUCAUUGUUCAUGCAUUCUUCAAGAUUAAACACUUUUUUCUUAAAAUCACUUUGUUUUUUGAGUCUAUAGAUUCUCUAGGGUGCUAGUAGGGAUUUUAAGUUGGUUCUCUUAAGAAGACUGAUUGGGCUUAAUCAAGGCUUCAAAGGAAGUGAAUAAUCUUAUUCCACCUCCAAAGACCUUGGGGGUUUUUCUAACUGUUCUUGAAGUCGAAGGGGGUUCGUUUACCGAACGUAGCAUUGAAGACUCGAGUGAAGAGUUCGAAGGAGUGCACGGGUAAUUCAAGGAUCCGAAGAUUCAAUAAGCACCAAAUUCAAGGGGUACAUGAAGUUUGGGAGAGUGUUUCAAAUAGGAGUUGAAGAAUUAGGGCUUUAAUUUGAAGGAACUCUUGCAAACAUUGUAAUCAGCAUUUGUUACAUAGUGGAUAACCUUGGUGAAGGCGUACUUCAUCAAGUAGAGUAGACGCAACCCUUAGCGAGGACGAAAAAAGGGUGCACUACUAUAAACUCCGGUUCUCUCUCUCUCUCUCUCUCUCUCUCUCUCUCUCUCCCCCUCUCCCUCUCUCUCUCUAUAUAUAUCCUUUUACUUUUUGAUAUUGCUUGUGAUUAAUUGAAUAAUUGAUAGGUUAAUUGUUAGUGUUGAUCUAAGUUGCUUUUCAUUGAAAAUUAACCUAAUUCAUUGAAUUAGGUUUUACACAAUUUGCUUAGAUCAAUUGAUUGCUAAGUCUAAUCAAUUCUUCAAUUACACUUGCAUUGUGUUUUUGAUUUGAUAGCUUAGUAAUUUUGCUCACUUAGGUUUGGUUUGAAAUUGGGUAUUGUUUUGUACCUUGUUCAAGGUUUAUUGAUAUUUGAUUGUAUAAAAAGAUUUGUAUCAUGAAUCUCUCAAUUCUAAGAUAUAAUAAUAUUCCACAUAUAUUUGCUUCUUGUUGAUUCAUUGAUUGUGAUUGUUCGAGAAAAAUUCCAAUAGUCGAUUUCAUUAAAAUCCGUUUUUAUCAAAUCACCGGAAAAUGUUUUAAAAAGCUAUUCACCCCCCCUCUAGCUUGGUAACUAUCUAGCCAAUAGACCAAUGAUAGACUUUUAACAGGUGUACUAAAAAUGCAUCGAAGUAAUAAAAUAAGUUCGUAUCCACGAGGACUGUGUUAACCUCAAUUUAACAAUAAAGUAAAUAUUUAGAAUAUAUAAAUUAUUUUGUUUAUUUUUUAUUUGAUUGCAUAAAAUUAAAUAACAUAAAAUAAAGAUUCGGUUAAAAAAUAUAGAUUUGGUUAGAAAAUAUGAAGAGAGAUGAGAUCAGGUCUUUCGAAUCAUCUAUGUUCCCCUAAUUUGUAUACUGAACCUAUUCUUAUGAAUGGUUUUUUAGUUCCACGAUAGUUAACAAAAUAGUCCUAAUCAAUCCCUUGACUUAUGACCCUCUUCUCAAACUACAGCCCCUAAUUCCUUAGGUGGUCUAAUAAUCUUUGAAGGUUUAAGCACGUUAACCUAAUAUCACUAACAAACGAUUAUCCAUUCCUAGACUAACCCUGUUUAUUAAAACAAUUCAAUUCUGUCUAAGUAGAAAGCUAUGGUCAGUAGUCAUUCAUUCUCACUAAAUCAUGUUUAUAUUUGAUCAAGAUAAAAAAGCGUUAAGAACAGUUGAAUUGAAUAAAAACUAUAUUGUCAUUCACAAUAAAUAGAGUUUCACAGCAACAUUGUUCAAUUAUUGUUACAAAGAAUCAUCUCAGACCUAAUCUCUAAGAGAUUUAGCUACUCAUAAUCGAGUUUACAAAUAGCAUAAUCAAUAAUGGAAUCAAAACAUACAUGAACUGAUAGAAGGUUGAAGAAUUCUCCCUCCUAGCCGUCUUUAUGUUUCAAAAUCGCACUUUGCUCUCUCCAAUUCGUAACCCUUGUUUUCAGAAUAAUCUUAAGCUUAAAUAGGCAACAACUGCUCCUAAAAUCUUGGCACGAUUUAAGUAAAUCGUGACACGUUUCUUCUUGUGUAACAACCCACCCAAACUAGGGUUUCCAUAAUCGUGUCACAUUUUUGCCAUCGUGACACGUUUUCACCAGUGUCGAAUGCAUUUUUCUUGAAAAGCUCCAAAUCGUGACACGUUUUUCAGUAAUCGUGACACGAUGCCCUUUUUUUAGUUUCUUCAGUUUUUUCUUGCUGCUUAAGCUUGGUUGCGAACUCAAAAAUAUCAUAAAAGACUCUAAAAAUAGCGAAUGACUGACUGUCAUCACAACCCUAAACUUGAACCAUUCCUUGUCCUCAAGGAAUUUACUUGUAAUAUUGACAAUCGAUAAUAAAAUUACAAUUACCUGAUCAAGCGAUAGUACCAAAAGUUCAACACCUUACUAGCUUAAGAUGAGCUAGUUUGACUUGUUAGCAACCACCAAUUCACAACUCCACGCAACAAUAUGAAAGGGUUUACGCACAAUCGACAUGCAAUCUACAUAUUACCAUAUGCUUGAAAAGUUUCUAAACGUCAAUCAAAAUCAAUGUCAAUGUACACUUUGAGGUCUUUAAUGGUUAUAACGGGGCUUAGGUGAAGGUGGGAUAAUAUUUGGAUAAGUAGGCUACACAAAAUUUGAGUUAGGCAUUCUUACGGAAGUUAAGCACAAAACUCAAUCCAUCAUUCAUUCACCUUUUGGAACAACAAUUAUUGCAAGGGUACUAGAGAUUAUUUAUAACAAUUGGGACAAUCGAGUUUUAAGUUACUCGGUUUUUCAAUGUCUUGUCCCUUUUCAUUCUAUUUUUUUUAAUACACCAUUUUAGUAUUUUGUUUUCAUGAGAAUGUUCAUUUUUUUUCUUUUUCUUUUCUUUGUUCUCUAGUACCCCCACCCCAAACUUAGUUGGUUGCAAAUUCCAAUAGCAACUCCAAACUUAAUAUUUAGCAACAUUCUACAAUGCCUAACUCAGAAAAACAAUAAGGGAUAAAUCCUAAAAGUCUCUAAACUUGUAAUGUAGUUUGUCACCGAACAAAAAGUUCUAAACCUACCGGCUCAAUUUGGCUAAAGAAAGGAUAAUUAUUCAAUUAUAAACAGGGUAAGCUUCAAAAAGGCUCACAGGACCAAACACUUUUGCCUCAGUGUGCUAAUGACAAAAAUCAAUCGACAGUAGAGAAAAAUUGCAAGUUCUAGAAAUAUAAAUGCAUAGAACACUCUUUAUAAGUAAAUUGGAAAAAUAAAAUUUGGCCAUGAACCUUGCAGUUUAGAUUUAUGGGAGUUGUGACUACCUAUCUUUCACUGUCGUACACUUCGCCUUUGAAUCACAAGUCAGUCUUCCUUUUGAACUUUUGAAAUACCACUUGAACAAACAUUUGUUACCAAACUGAAAAAAAUCAAUAAAACAAGAAAAUUCAUCAAUAAUAAACAAGUGUAGAAUCAAUCACAUAACAGGGGGAUACAACUGAGUUAAUACAAAAUGAAAAUUAAAGAAAAAAAAAUGUUUGACUCAACAAAAGAAAUAAAAUACUGAAAAUAAAGACAUAAUAAAAAGAUGGGUUGCCUCCCACCAAGCGCUUUCUUUUACGUCAUUGAGCUUGACGCACCAACACCCAAGUCAGGGUGGAUAUUUCCACUUUGAUUCAACAAUAAAUCUCUUUUCAUUUUUAUUUUUUUCUUGUUGCACAUUUCCAACAUCAUCUUCACUAUCCACUUCAUCAACCUUUCUAUUGGUACUUUCAAGACUCACUGACUUGAGCACUUUUCUGGUUCUCAAUUCAAUGACUUUGCAAUUUUUAUUCUUUGGAUAUUCAACAUUCUCCUUAUUUUUACUGAAAUGAGGAUAAGGCAACUUCACAUAGUAUGGCAUCACUUGAGGCUUAUCACCAUCCUUGAGGAGCUGACUUUUAGACUUUCUCAAAAUGGAGCUUGCAUCUAUGAGAUUCUCUAUUUUAUCUCCCUCCUUCUUGGAUUCACACUCAACUUUCUUUUUCUUACUCUUAUCCACUCCCAUAAGGUUAGCUGCUACUCUCCCAUCACCCACUCCAAUCAUAUUACAUGUGUCAUUCUUUUGAUUAAUGUUGGAAGUAUUGCCACCAAAACCUCCCCUUGAUUGUGUUGCCAUUAGUUUUGACAACUGCCCAAUUUAAGUUUCAAUGUUCUUAAAGUAAGCUUCAUUAUUUCUUUGCACACUUUCUUGAUUUGAAUUGAUCUCUUGGAAGUUGGUUUGGGUUAAUUUAAUGAAACUCAAGGCUUCUUCAAGUGCGGUAGGCUUUGUUUGUGGUUGUUGUUGGGAUGGGUAGGUAAUUGGGUUUAAGGUGUUAUUGUUUGAAUAUUUGAGGUCAGGAUUUUGUGUCCACCCCAUAUUAUAUGUGUUUGAGUAAGGGUUCUCUUCUUGAUAAUUUCUCAUAUAAAUGGCUUCCUCACUCACUCCCUCGGGUACACACUCACCAUUAGCAUGUCCUUCACCACAAAAUUCGCACCUCAAAACUUGUGGUUGGUGAAUCUGUUGAACUUGAACUUGUCUGAUACUUAUGACUUGUAUUGGUUUGGAAAGUGCUUCUAUAUGUUUACUCAUCAAGGCCUGACUAGUCAUGAUAAUACUAUUCUCAUUCACUCCAAGCACUCCUAUCUCACUUUGCUCAAUCUCAACACAACACUCAUUCUGAGCCAUGAACUCAAUUAGAGUUUGAACCUUAAGGUCUGUUUUCUCUCUUAUACUACCCCCAGCUGUAACACCCCGUUUGCCCAACAUAAAAAUUUCUUAACAAAUAUCAGAGUAAACAUCUCAAAUGGGAUAUCACAUUUCACAUAAUCUAAAAACAGUUAAAUAACAAUUUAACUUCCAACAAAAUAUUUCAAUCAUCGCAGCGGAGUUAAUUCAAAAAUCAUAAAUUGUCUUGGCACGUAGGCCCCAUCAUAAUAUCUCAAAUAAAUAUAGUUAACAUCAUAAAAUAUCAUAAAUGAACACGUAAAGGAAAUGAAGCAUGCAUAUCAUAAACCCCAUCCCGUUACGUAUCAGAGCAACCUAUGACUCAGUGAGGCAAGGCUACUCACGACAGCACAACAGCAACCUACGCUCGAUCACCUGCAAGUUACUCAUACGAAGAGCAACGUUUCCAAGCAGAAGGGGUGAGAUUUCACAAAACAAUAAUAUUAAUCAAUAUAAUUCAACAAUCAUAAUUAACAUCAUAAAUCUUAAACAUAAACAUCCCAUAUCAUCAUAGCAUCAUAACAUCAUUCAUCAUGGACUCGACUAUGCGACUAUGCAACUUAGACCUCUUAUAUGCAUGUGGUACCAAUUCAGGGCAUGAGGCCCCAACAUUAUUUUGAGUUAAUGCUCCAUCGUGGUGAGUACAAAGCUCCAUCGUUAUUUUGAGCUAAUGCUCCAUCGUGGUGAGGACAAAGCUCCAUUGUUAUUUUGAGCUAAUGCUCCAUCGUGGUGAGGACAAAGCUCUAGGGCAUGAGCCCCAACAAAUGUAUGCUAAUGCAUGGACUCAAUCUCUUAAAACAUCUUAAAUUAUCAUCUCAUAUAUAUAUCCAAUAAUUUGGAGUUCAACAUCAUCUUAAUCAUCUUGUAUAGACUCAUGCAACAUAGUUAAAUAACAAUAGCAGCACAGGCAGAUCACAACAAAAUUAUGACAUCAUAUAAAGACAUCAAAUAGAAGCAAGUAUCAACUCAAUCAUCCAUUAAUUAAUAUUUCAAGUAAUGCAAUUAAUCAUUAAUUCACAUUAUAAUCAGCUUAACAGUUCAUAAUAGCUUCACAGAUUGCAGUUAACAUCUUAUAUAGGUCACAUUACUACCUAAGGGUCCAUCCUUAAUCAAAUCAAGCAACACAGAUCACGACAUUCUCACUAGUACUGAGUUCUGGAAGUGCUCGCGAGGCGAGAGCAUCUGCUCGCCAUGGCGAGUACGAGCCAGAAUCCCAACUAAGGUUGUUCUAAGCUAAACCAGGUUCAAUCUCAUUCUAAGUCAUCAUCUAAUCUUUAAUAAACAUCUUUUGGCACUCAAAAGCAUUUAAGGUUCAACUCAAAAGUCAAAAUUACAGAAUUCAACAUGCUCUCUGGUCAUGCUCCCUAUGGCGAGUAAGGUUGUUCGCUGUGGCGAGCUACAAAUAGUAACUCGCGAGGCGAAGGGAAAUGGCUCGCGUGGCGAGCGAUGAACUUCAUCUCUCUCGAGGCGAGGAUCAUCGUUCGCGAGGGCGAGCGAUGAAUAUAGGCUCGGGCAGAAUGCAGUUUUUAACAAAAAUUCAUCAUCUCACAUGGUUUAAAGCCUAAUUUCGAUUCCAGAAUUCAUCCUAUUCAUAAUCUAAGGUCAAAGGACGUUUUAAGCAUCAAUAUAAUAACCUAACAUCAUUGGAUCAUCAAAAUCACCUAUUAACCCUAAUUUCAUAAACUUUUUAAUUCAAUCCUAACUUGCUAAUUUGAUCAUCAGAAUCAUAAGGAUUAAUACUAUUGAAUCAUUAGUUUCACCCUUACCUUAAUUGAAGAAAUCGCAGCUCUCUCUCUGACUUCUCCCUUCUAUGGCUUUUUCCUCCGUUUUCCAAAGCUUGAUCGUACGUACAAAGUGUUUUCUAAAACUAGGUUUUCUCUUUAUAUACCUCCUCCUAAUAUCUUAUCUUAUCUCACUUUCUCCCCCAAAACUCUCUAAAAUCUCAAAACAGCCCUUAACUAAAUAUUUUAUUUUAUUUUCAAAUCUUAUUUUAUUAAACAACAAAAUAAGUCUCAUAACCUCAUAAAAAUCGUCACANNNNNNNNNNNNNNNNNNNNNNNNNNNNNNNNNNNNNNNNNNNNNNNNNNNNNNNNNNNNNNNNNNNNNNNNNNNNNNNNNNNNNNNNNNNNNNNNNNNNNNNNNNNNNNNNNNNNNNNNNNNNNNNNNNNNNNNNNNNNNNNNNNNNNNNNNNNNNNNNNNNNNNNNNNNNNNNNNNNNNNNNNNNNNNNNNNNNNNNNNNNNNNNNNNNNNNNNNNNNNNNNNNNNNNNNNNNNNNNNNNNNNNNNNNNNNNNNNNNNNNNNNNNNNNNNNNNNNNNNNNNNNNNNNNNNNNNNNNNNNNNNNNNNNNNNNNNNNNNNNNNNNNNNNNNNNNNNNNNNNNNNNNNNNNNNNNNNNNNNNNNNNNNNNNNNNNNNNNNNNNNNNNNNNNNNNNNNNNNNNNNNNNNNNNNNNNNNNNNNNNNNNNNNNNNNNNNNNNNNNNNNNNNNNNNNNNNNNNNNNNNNNNNNNNNNNNNNNNNNNNNNNNNNNNNNNNNNNNNNNNNNNNNNNNNNNNNNNNNNNNNNNNNNNNNNNNNNNNNNNNNNNNNNNNNNNNNNNNNNNNNNNNNNNNNNNNNNNNNNNNNNNNNNNNNNNNNNNNNNNNNNNNNNNNNNNNNNNNNNNNNNNNNNNNNNNNNNNNNNNNNNNNNNNNNNNNNNNNNNNNNNNNNNNNNNNNNNNNNNNNNNNNNNNNNNNNNNNNNNNNNNNNNNNNNNNNNNNNNNNNNNNNNNNNNNNNNNNNNNNNNNNNNNNNNNNNNNNNNNNNNNNNNNNNNNNNNNNNNNNNNNNNNNNNNNNNNNNNNNNNNNNNNNNNNNNNNNNNNNNNNNNNNNNNNNNNNNNNNNNNNNNNNNNNNNNNNNNNNNNNNNNNNNNNNNNNNNNNNNNNNNNNNNNNNNNNNNNNNNNNNNNNNNNNNNNNNNNNNNNNNNNNNNNNNNNNNNNNNNNNNNNNNNNNNNNNNNNNNNNNNNNNNNNNNNNNNNNNNNNNNNNNNNNNNNNNNNNNNNNNNNNNNNNNNNNNNNNNNNNNNNNNNNNNNNNNNNNNNNNNNNNNNNNNNNNNNNNNNNNNNNNNNNNNNNNNNNNNNNNNNNNNNNNNNNNNNNNNNNNNNNNNNNNNNNNNNNNNNNNNNNNNNNNNNNNNNNNNNNNNNNNNNNNNNNNNNNNNNNNNNNNNNNNNNNNNNNNNNNNNNNNNNNNNNNNNNNNNNNNNNNNNNNNNNNNNNNNNNNNNNNNNNNNNNNNNNNNNNNNNNNNNAAACAAGAAUACACAAACUGUGCCACAUCGCGUUUCAAUCCAGACCACCAGAAUAUCUUCUUUAGAUCAUGAUACAUCUUCGUAGCUCCCGGGUGAAUACUCAAGCUACUUCUAUGACUCUUUUCAAGAAUCAUUUUCUUCCUCCCUUCAUCAUCAGGAAUACAAAUUCGGCCUCGGAAUCUCAACACACCAUGGUCAUUGACCUUAAAGUCACCAUCUUCAGUCUGAUUACUAGCAACCAACAAGUCUACAAACUUGACAUCAAUUUUCUGUGCCUCUUUAAUACUUUUUAGAAAUUCACUAUCAAUUUUCAGCAUUCCCAGUUUCACACUCUGAGGUGACCACUCACAAACUAAGCUCAUAUCUCUAAACUGUUCAAGCAAUUCGAACUCUCUAACCAUCAUAGCGGACAUAUGCAAUGUCUUCCUACUCAAGGCAUCUGCAACACCAUUAGCUUUACCUGGAUGAUAAUUCAAACCAAAUUCAUAAUCUUUCAACAAUUCAAGCCACCUUCGUUGCCUCAUAUUCAAUUCUUUCUGAUCGAACAAAUACUUUAAGCUCUUGUGAUCACUAAACACCUCAAACCUCGAACCAUACAAGUAAUGUCUCCAUAUCUUUAAUAUAACGACCACAGCCGCCAACUCUAAAUCGUGCGUCGGGUAAUUCUUCUCAUGAAUUCUCAACUACCUUGAAGCAUAAGCUACCACUUUACCAUCUUGCAUAAGUACACCUCCUAAACCCAACUUGGACGCAUCACAGUGUACCACAAAAGGUUCAUCGGACUUCGGCAAAAUCAAAACCGGAGCUGUCGUCAACUGCUUCUUCAAUUCACUAAAAUUGUUCUCGCAUUGAACAUCCCACACAAAAGCUUUACCUUUACAAGUCAACUGCGUUAGCGGGAGUGCUAACUUGGAAAAUCCUUCUAUAAAUCUUCUGUAGUAACCAGCUAAACCCAAGAAGCUUCUAAUCUCUGUAACUGACUUAGGAGUCUCCCAUUGCGAUACCGCUUUAACUUUAGAGGGAUCUACAACAAUACCAUCACCAGAAAUAACAUGGCCAAAAAAACUCACUUCUUUCAACCAGAACUCACACUUAGAUAUUUUAGCAUAAAGUUUCUUCUCUUUCAACACUUGCAAGACAAUCUUCAGAUGCUCAGCAUGUUCUUCUUCAGUCUUGGAGUAAAUUAAAAUAUCAUCGAUGAAAACAACCANNNNNNNNNNNNNNNNNNNNNNNNNNNNNNNNNNNNNNNNNNNNNNNNNNNNNNNNNNNNNNNNNNNNNNNNNNNNNNNNNNNNNNNNNNNNNNNNNNNNUUUCUAAUUACUUAUCUUAUCUCACUUUCUCCCCCAAAACUAUCUAAAAUAUCAAAACAGCCCUCAACUAAAUAUUUUAUAUUAUUUUCAAAUCUUUAUUUUAUUUAACAAUAAAAUAAUUCCCAUAUCAUAAUCAAAUCCUUCAAUACUCAUAACUUAACACGUCAUCGAUCAAAUCAUCAAAACAUACCAAAAUCAUGCAUAUACUAUAUAAUUAUAAUAUAAUUGCCUAAUCUCGAUUAAAUAACGAUUAAACGAAAGUGGGCGUUACACAACCUCUCAUAUUAGUCCAAUAAUUUGGAACAUCAUCAUCGUCAACAACUUAGACCGACUCAUGCAGCUUAGUUAAAUAACAACAGCAAUAUAGGCAGUAUACAAAAUCAGCAUGACGUAAAUAUAUCAAUUGCAAUUCAACAACAUCUUAAAUAUUCAAAUAAUUCUCAAGUAAUGCAUAAAACAUUAUAUCACAUCAUAAUCAACAGCAACACAUCUUAAACAGCUUCACAGAUUAUAAUUAACCUCUUCAUUAAGUCUUAAUGCUACCCAAAGGUUUAAUCCUCAACAACUCGUGCAACAAAGGUCGCAAAAUCUAACAAGUCACUUUGUUUCUGGGUCACUCGCGAGGCGAGAGCCUCUGCUCGCCGUGGCGAGUUUAGGUCAGAACCUCACAAGUUUCAUUCCAGGUUCAAUCUCAUCCUACAUUCUUACCUAAUCAUUAUUAGACAUGUUCAAGCACUCAAAAGCAUCUAAGGAUCAACUCAAAGGUCAAAAUUACAAAUUCUUGCAUGCUCUCUGGUCUAGCUCGCUAGGCGAGUUCAAGUGUUCGCCAUGGCGAGCUGCAACGUGCAACUCGCGAGGCGGGGAAAGGUUACUCGCAUGGCGAGCGAUGAAGUUCAUCACUCGCCGUGGCGAGGAUCAUAGCUCGGGAGGCGAGCGAUGAAUGUCGCUACGAGCAGAAUGCAGUUUUCACCUAAAAAUCAUCAACUCUCAUGGUUUUAAGCCUAAUCUUGAUUCCAGAAUUCAUCAUAAUAAUUAUCUAAGGUCUAAGGACAGUUUCUACAUCUUUUUAACAAGUUUUCACCGUUUAAUCAUCAAUUCUCUCUUUUAGACCUAAUUUCUGAUUCCUCUUAAACUCAUCCUAAUUCAUGUUAAAUGUAACCGUUGAUUCAUAAACUUAAUAGAAUUGCAAAGUUAAUCUCACCCUUACCUUAUAAUCAGAAAAUCGCAGCCUCUAAGUUGUUCUCCCUCUUCUCUUGGUUUUUUCUCCCUUUUCUCCAAAAACUGAUCGUACGUACGUUAUGUUUUUCUAAACUAGAUUUUCCCUAUUUAUAUCUCCUCCAAUUAUCUUAUCUUAUUUCUCUUUCUCCCCCAAAACUCUCUAAAAUCUCAAAACAGCCCCUAAACUCAAUAUUUAUUUUAUUUUCAAAUCUUAUUUUAUUAAACAAUAAACUAAGUCACAACUCCUCAUAAAAUCAUAUAAAAACACCUCAAUCAUAUAAUCCUCUUAAAUCACACAUAUAUUAUAUAAAUAUAAUAUAAACUCAUCAAAAAUAACUCUAGACUCAAUUAAAUAAUUAAAUAAUUAAAUAAUUCGAAAUGAGCGUUACAAUUAUCUCUCAUGUGUGUCUUUAGGUGCUCUGAUACGUAACGGGAUGGGAACUUUGUUGCAGUCUUUUCUAUUCCUUACGUAUUGCUUAUGAAUUUACAUGAUUAAGUUGUUAAUUGGAUUUUUAUGAGAUACUUUGAUGAUGCCUUCGUGCCAAAAUUAUUUUAGAUGUUCGAAUAAAUUCCGUUGCGAAGUAUUAAAUAUUAUGUUAUUUAAUUUUCAAAGGAUAAUUAGUUAAUUAUUUCGUUUAUGAUUUUAAGAAAAGAAGUGUGACAUUCUGUUUAUGUGAAUUACUCUGAUUAAUUAAAUGAAAUUUUUACUCUGAUUAAUUAGACAACCUCUCAUAUUAGUCCAAGAGACUUUUUAUGCUCAAGCAUAACUGCAAGAUACUUCUAUUCAAACAGAAUUACAAAGAAUAUAGUUUGAGGUUGAACACUUGAUAUACAAUCAGUGGUGUUCACAAUGCAAAUCAGAUACAGACUCUUAAGACUCUAGAAUUUCUAAGAUAUGAACUUUGAUAAGAAAUUCUAAGUGAACUUUUGAUGUAGAACAAUUUCAGCAGAGUUUUGGCACUUGUAAAUUGUUUUAGAGUCAUUGUCAUUCUCUAAGUCAUCACUCCUUUAUAUAGAGGUGUGAAAGAGACAUUGUGAAUUUCCAACACAUCAAAAUAGAUUCGUUUGAAGCUUUGAUCAAUCACCAAUGAUCUUUUGCCUGAUAUGGUUAUUGUCCUAUGAAGGAUUAAUUUCAAAUCCAUUCAAAGUAUGAAGGAACAUUGUUGCAGGCAUAGUUGUAUUCUUGUCCUGUAGCAGAGACACAAACUGAGUAGUGGAGAUAGUGGCUGUACACUUCAUACAAUUGUACUUUGUCAGCGCUCUUCAAAAAGCAAGCAUCCAAUGCCUUCAACUUCAUUUGAAUUAGUCGUUGCUUCACUCUUAUGGUCUUCUGCAAUGCUUGGAUGAGAUUAAAUUCAUUGAACAACAUAUGAAGCUUUAAGUCUCUCAUAUUCUAAUGAUAUUCAGCUUCUGGUGAUCUUCAGCUUCUGAUGAACUUGCUUUUGAUGACGUCAUCACUUCAGGAGCACUUGACUUGAGGAGCACUUUUCUUCAUAUGCUUUAAGCUUCCUUUUUGUUGGGAGACCUUAAUACAUAAAUAUAUUUAUGAUUUAUUCAAAAUAAAAUAAAAUAGACAUUUAUAAUAAAAAAAAUGAAUAUCGACAUGCAUGAAACAUUCAACUAGAUCAUAUAAUUUAGGAUGUUGGGAGUAAAUAGUAGUAUUGAUUUUUAGGGUCUUGUUAAUCAGUACCAUCAGGAUAAUGUUUAAGGUAACAAAAAUUAGUAGUUUUACAUUGAAAACAAUAAUUUAUAAACAUUUUAUAAGUUGACUUGAUAACUUUUUAUCACUUUCCAACGCAAUUUUUAUUUUUGUUUCUUCAUCCAAUACCCUAAGACACUCUUUAGCAUUUCCUGAUUUUUAAUAAUGUUGUUACACAAAAUAUACAUUGUGAGAGUAUAAAAGAGGAAGUAUGUGUUGAAAUUGCAGGGCAAAUUGGGGGCAUGGGUGGAUUUAAGAUAGAGACUUCCCAUAAGAGAGCAUAAAUGCUACACACAAAAGAUGAUAGUAUUGCAAGUCACCACACUUUAGAGAGAGAAAGAGAGAUGGAACUAAUUAUAUAGUCCCAAGGGGUAUAGUGGUAGGGUUGGUCUCCUUCACAAACGGGUAGGAUAUUGAUUGUCAAUAAAUGCUUCUAUUUUAUAGCCCACUGUUUAAAUUCAACCCUUGAUAGCAUUCUUCACUGUCACUAAGGGAAUUGGUAACCCACAUGGGUAUCAACUGACAUUGAACAGUGUUAACUUUGAGAAAAUUAUUCUUCCACAAUACAGUAACGAGAAAGACUGUAUUUAUCCCUUAUUCCUAAUGCAAAUUUUUUUUAAGGAAUUAUUCCUAAUGCAAGGGUUGAUGUAUUUCAAAAGGACCGUAUAUAUAUAUAUAUAUAUCACAACUUCUAUCUAAUAAUAAUCAAUUUAUUUGGAAAAAAAAAAAAACUGUUCCAAAAUAAUUGCUAUUUAAAUUUUGAAUGAGAUAUCAGUUAUACCUUCAUAUUGUACCUUUUAAUUAAGGAAAAUGCCUGACAAGUAUCUUUUAGGACAUUGUUUAAGCAUUUAAUAGUGGUAACUUUUACUUUAGAAAUUGUAUACAUAUUAUUUUUAUAUGUGUUUGACUUGUAUUUUCAAGAUAAUUUUAUUUUAGAUUUCUGAAACAAUGUCUUUAAAACACUUAUUAGCAAAAUACUUUAAUUAAAACUACAAGUAUCAGUAACAAUUGUAUAUUUUCUACUUUUUAUUUAUGGUAAUAGUAAAUUAGAUAUAGCUCUAUUUUUUUUUUUAUUAAACCUACGAUUAAGAGAAUGGUGUUCUAUUAUUUCAUAGUUCGACCGCGAGAUAUUUAAGUUUUGGUCAAAAAUUCUUCCAUUCAGAAAUCGAACUCCGCUCUUCUGAAUUAUUGCUUUUUGAUGGACCUCAUUAAAUAACUUGAGCUCAAUCACUCAAUUAUAUAAACCAAUAUAUAUAUAAAGAAAAGUUGCGGUAGUGUAGUUAAAGUGAAAAUUUUAUGCAAGAACAUUACUAAAUUGAUAUUUAAGUAUAAUAUUCAGUAUUGAUUAUUCAUUCAAUAUAUUCCUUUUUAACUUUUUUAAAAAAACUUUUUUUGAUCAAAAUGUCUCAUAUGAAUAAGACUAGUCAAUGUUAUGUUUGAAAAAAAAAUAAUAAAAUGCAUUUAACAAAAUGAAAAUGAGUUUAUAUUUAGGGAAUAAUUCAAUUAGAGUGGGAAGGAGGAAAUAUUUAUUACACAGUUAAUUAAUUUUAUAACAAAGACAACACUUAUGCAAUUACAUGGAAGAAGUUGUGGCCUAAUGGGAAGACAUAAUUUAUUAGCACCCUUUUUUUAUGACAGAAUUUAAUAGCAACCAUUUAGUCUUUUCUUUUUUUUUUUGAAAGGAAGCAACCAUUUAGUCUUAACAAGCACCAUCAUGUAAUAAAAAAUAUGUUUUGAUUUUCUUCCACAGUUUGAACAAUUGUAUAUACGAAUAUGUUUUCAACAUUGGUUCUAUUCUUUCUAGUAUAGUACAAAAAAAGUUAUUGCAUUUAAUGGCAUCCAUGUCUAAAUAUAAUUAUCAGUGUUUUGCUUGAUUUUGUUAUCCUGACUCAAUAGAUUUUUGGUUUUUUGUUUUCUUAUUUCUUAGCUUGAUAGGAUAAUAUCAUAGAUGCCUUUGAGUCUGACUCAGCUAUUCUAGUGCAAGCUCUAUCGUCUCCGGACUAUGGUGAUUCGGAAUUUUAUGUUAUAGUUUCUAGUAUUAUUUAUCAAUUAUCUUUACAUCCUAACUUCGAGGUGAAGUUUUUUAGGAGACAAGCGAACAUGAUUGCUCAUAGUUUAGCCAGGGCAGCCUGUUUUUGGGUUAGUUACCGUAUGUUUUAUUCUUAUCCUUCUCGUAUUGAACAUUGGUUGAUUAUUCCUUUAUUGUAUUUUGUUGCUCUUUUGGACAUGUUAUCUUAUAAUGGCUUUUGCAAUUAUAGUUAUCUCAUGAACCAUCUUAUUAUGGUAAAACGCUGGUAAAUGCAACCACAAUUAUAUUUGUGAUGCAGUUGCUAAUGCCUAUAAAACUGUUAUAAUGCAGCCGAAAUUAUGGUUGUGAACUGCAAUUUUAAAACUAAGAAUAAUGCUAAUAACAGUUAUUCAAAUACACAACAAGACAUAAAAUGGGUACCAUACUAUGUACCAUAUAUGUGCCACUCAUAUACUAUGUACCAUAUAUACCUGUGUAUACUAUAUGUACGUACCAUACUAUAUAGUAUACCACAUGAAUUGAAGUCAAGGUAAGGUACAAGUUAAUUAGAGCACUGAAAAAGAGAGAGAAAAGGGAGAGAUGUGGUAAAGAUUAAAUUGGUGUGAAAUGUCAUUUCAAUAUACAGUAUAUGUAUCCAGCAGAAGGGAUAUUUACACUGUUGUAUUCAUCUGUAUAUAUCAGCUAGCCCAAACAACAAAACAUGGGCUCCACAUCUUGUAGUUUUAACCUUUUUCCCAUUCUUUGUUUCCUCUCUCUCUCUUUACUCAAAGCUGCAAAUAAGAUCGACCCACUUCGUUUCAUCUGCAGCAUAUACCUUAUUACAAACAUGAGGGACCAUUAAUAUGAUAUACGGAUACGGACGCGAUACGGACACUGACACACUGACACAGUUAAUAAUUAAAAAAAUUACUUAAUUAAAUAUAAUUACAAAUGUCGGUGUCGUGUGGGUGUCGGACACGACAUGUGUCCGACAUCGAGAGACGCCUAAUCCAAGGAGUGUCUGUGCUUCAUACCAAUCCUACUCAUAUAUAAAAAAAUCUAUUUAUCUUACAAACCUAAUCAUUUGCUUUGAAAUUUUCCAAGCAAAAGGGUGGUAUUAUGUUCCAUCUAUCAACAGAAACCCACUAUUAUACAAAGUAAAAGGCAAGAAUCAUUUCAUAUACAAACACAAAAAGCUGACUUACCUAUAUUUUCAGUCUUACAAAACUAAAAGGCUAUCCAACUAAUAAACUGAAAUUAUAACUCUAAUUAAGGUUUGAUUAUAACUCUUACAAAAUUGAUUCAUUUCAUUGCAACUGAUUCAAUAUCAAUUCUAAAUUGUGUAUAACAUAUUAACCUAAGAGUUUAAUUGUCAUAUGCUUAAUUUUAUGUUAGUAUAAAACUGUUUUACACGAACAAUCCAUGUACUCUAAUUCGUUAAACAUAAUAUUUAUACUCGCGAUUUCAUUGACUUGUCACAGAUGUUUGAAUUGCAAGAAUAUACAAAAAAUUCUAAAACCAAGUUGUGGACUGGAUACUGUCCGAUGGAGCUUCCGGCAAACUCUCCAUCUGUUACAUAAUUCUUCUCUCUAAAGCAUUUAUCCAUCUUCCCAUCUACCUUUUCUUUUACGCGUUUGGAUCAUCUGCAGCCGUCGUGCCAUUCACUACGAAAUGGGUGACUGUUUGCUGCAGAUGAUCCAAAACUAAACCUUUCACCCUUAUUUUUGUAUUUCUACCGUAGAGACUAGAGAGCAAGAGAAAGAAUCUAUAUAGGUGAGUCAACGCUACUUGAUCUUGAACGAUAUUACUGUAGGAUCUUCUUGGGUCUCUCUUAUCUUUCCAUCAAAAUCUCAAUGAUUAGAUUAAUCUAAGAAUUGCAAGAUUAAAAUCUUAACCAUUAGAUCAAUUGAAAUGCCUGAUAAUUGAUUAAAGUGGGUAAAGGGACCUGAGAGUAUUUGGAUCCAAUGUAAAGCUCUACUUUAAUUUUAAUUAUCAUCAUAUAAAUAGCUUCUUAAUGUGACAUUAGACAAAUUGUUGAUUACCAGGAAAUUAACAAGUGUAUUGGUUUCGAUGUUUUUUGGUUUUUCUUCUUAUAAUAAGGAUCAGAGGGGAGUACCGGAAUUAUCAAGCACGAUCGAUGUAAAUUCCAAGAAAGCUAACUAUAAUGCCCCACAAGUAUUUGUCCAUGCAGAUUCAUAAUUAUCCAUCAAAGUUUGAACUUUGAAAAAGAAGCCUACUACAGUCUAUAUAGAUUUCAUAAACAGCUUUUCUUCAUCUAAAUUGACCCUUCCUGUUCCUUUUCAAAUGCACCAUAAUACACCUAUUCUUAAAUGCACCAUAAUGCACCAUAUACAUACAACAGUGUUAAUAGAUAAAAUAUACAUACUCGUUUAUUUAUUUUUUAAAAUUAAACUACUAUACUAUUGUAUACUUUAGAGUUGCAACCAAAAAUACAAGUAGGGUUAACCUUUAACGUUAACAAACUCUUUUGUUAUGUGUGUGUAUAUUAUACAAACCUAGAAUACUACAAGAUCGUGCACAUGUACGUAGAAAUACAUAUAAUCUGCAAAACAUAUAUGAGAGGAGAAAACAUUUUUCCUUCUAAUUUUCUUACCAUAUGUAAAUUAAACUUAAUUACACAGAUGAAAAACAUAUGUAGCAAAUAUUAACUAUACCAAUUUGACAGGCCAUAAUGUGGAAGAUUUGGGAAGCCAGAAAUGGGAUUGUUUUCUCUUCGAAAUGUUGUGAGGUGGAAGAAAUUGUAGAUGGUAUAAAAUCAACCUCUUAGAGGUGGUUCCUAGCCAGAACAAAAUUGGGGGCAUUGUAUGUAUUACAAGUGGUUUUCAAACCCGCUCCUUUUGUCUUAAUUAUUGGAUGCAUUUUAUUUUGGGGGUCGAGCAUCCCUUGUACUUUUCUGUUAAGUGGGUCAAAUACUCUUUGUAGUUUUCUCUCCUCGUUAAUAAAAUUUUGACAUUCCACAAAACAAUCGACAAGGGUAUGAAAAUACAUAAUUUAUAACUAUUAAUUUGACAAGAGAAGAGAGAAAAAACUAAUAAAAAAAAUGACAUCGUAUCUAUUAAUUAAAUAAGUUGUUGGACAACUAAAUGAAUAUACAAAUAAUAUUUCUCUAUAUUAUACAUAAAUGUUUUUGGCAUCAGACACCAUAUAAACAUAAGGUUUUGGGUUUUUUUUUUUUUAUUAAAAUUUCUCUCUCUUCUCAAAAUGACACUCCCUCUGUCCCUCAAUAGAUAAUCUAUUUGACAAUAUACAUUAUUGACUUAACAUACUUUGAUUAUAUUUUUCUACUAAAUCACAAAGAUAAAUAAUAUCAUGUAGGAUGUUGUUGGAUUCCUCUCGAUGAAUAGUUUUAAAAUAUUAAAUUUUUCAUAAUUUUUUUUAAUAGAGAAUUAAAGAUAUCAAAGAUAAAACAUAUACCUUAGUACAUGUGUCAAAGUCAACCAGAUCAUCUAAUAUGAGACGGAGAAACUAAUGAUUAAAGAAAAUAUUAACUCUUGUAUUUUAUAAGGUGUCCGUCUUUAUAGAUAUAAUAUUUUUUUGGUCCAAAUAACUAUUCUAUAAUAUGUACACUUUUAUGAAAAGUGUAUAAUUUUUUUUAUAUUAUUUAUAUUGUGUUAUGUGAUACAAAACACUUUAUAUUGAAGAUGUCUCGUGUGAACACUAAUAUUACACCAUGUGGUUACAUUUAACUAAUUAAUUACUUUGAUUUUAUCAAAAUAUUAUCGGGAUCAAUAUAUCAGUAUCUGUGACAUGUUUGAUGUUUGUGUGAGUGUAUCAUAAUAGUCUUAUACAACAAAAGACCAAAUUGAAAUUCGGAUUAUCAAAUGUCAAAUAUGUCCAACUAUUCACAAAAACAAAAGCUAGCUAGAGAUGAUAUUUCUACCAAACAAAAUCAAUUAUUUCUCUACACAAAAUUUACUGAUAGAAUUAUAGAAAGAACUAAUUUUUUUCUCUAAAUUUCCAUCUCUAAUUUAUGUUCCUUUAGUAAAAACUAAAGUAAGAUAGAAGGAAGAGAAUAAUUGGCCUCCAUUUAAACUUGGUUGUAAUUUAUAGUUCUCAAAUUGGAAGCCAUGGCUAUUAUAUAUAUCCAUCAUAGUUAGCUAAUAAAUUCAUUAUGAAUAUAACAUAAUAUAAUUCCCUUGAAUAAAUUAAAAUUAAAAAUCAUAGUUCUUCACUACUGAGUCUGAGUGGAUUCAUUAUCUUGUUCAACUUCAGAAGCAGGUUCAUCCUCUUCUUCAAAACCAUCAAUUCCAUAAGCAGCAUGACCACUCCCAAAAGCUCUUAUAUGAUCUUUAAGCGAUCGCUUAUGCUUAAAAUCCGAACCACAAAGACAAUACCAAAGCUUUCCACAAUUCUUCUCAUGAGUUCUCCAAUCUCCUCUAACAGCAAAAGCCUUACCACAUUUUCUACACAUAAAAGGCUUAAUCCCAUGUUUCCUUUUAUAAUGUGUUUGAAGUGUUCUGAAAUCUUUCAAUGGCUUUGCUCUUGGGUGAUCAAUGUUGUUCCUGCAACCUGGUGAACAACAAUAGCAAGGAAGCCUUAGCAUACCUGUUGGUUGUGUACCUCUUAGAGAUUCUGGUCCUUUUCUGUAUUGUGAUCCAUGUCCCCACAUAUGCAUCUGAGGAUAAGAAAGAAGAAAUUAAAUUUUUGGAUAAUUACCUUAAGCCUAAAUUGCAUUUUUGAUUCCUUAACUAUUUAGAUAGUAUCACUUUGGUCCAUUAAUUAAAAUUCAAUUUAUUUUGGUCCCUUAACUUCUCUCUGUUACACAUUUUGGUCCUUUAAGUUAGUUUUAAUUAAAAAACGUUAGGUUUUCUUCAUCUUCUUUUCCUCUUUUUCAUCUUCAUAUCAUCUCCAUCAACUUUCAACAAGAAUCCCAGAAAAAUUCCAGAAGAACAUAAAGAAACCCUAAAGUUCUUGAAUUAAAACUAACGGAAAUGAUCAAACAAUGUAACAGAGAAAAGUUAAGAGACCAAAAUAAAUCAAAUUUUAAUUAAAGAACCAAAGUGAUGGUACCUAAAUAGUUAAAGAUAAAAAAUGCAAUUUAGCCUUACCUUAAAAAAGAAGUUAAAUGAUAAAGUAAUUAAUCAAGAGAAAAUAAUCAUGAAAAGUUGUGUGCAUAAAGUCUAAAAUUUAUAUGAAAAAACUCAAAAAAUGUUGGCCGGCUAGCUCACUUUGUUUUGUGAUGUUAUCAUGUUAGUAAUAAUCAUCAUUGAUGAAGGCCCGCCAAGAUUUUAAUUAGGAAUGCAUAUCAUUUUUGUUUUUUGUGGAUUAAUAAUUAGGUUGUAAGAGUUUUGUCCAUGAUGUGUCAGUUCAUCCCUAACAACUUGAUUUUGCAACUUCAAGGGAGGGGUUCAAAUUUCAUGUAGCACAUUUUAAAAUAAUUAUUUAUUCAAAAAUUUUAUAUAUAAUAUUAAAUAUACAAGUUUCAAUAUAAAAUUUUUAUUUUAAAGUUUUUAAUAUGUGUAAAUUUGAUGAUGAUAGAAAAACCCUUUUAAAAAUUACAUUAUUAACGUAUCGGCUGUUAAUAAUGAUUUCCCUUUCUCAAGUUAAUUUAUAAUAAUUUGUCCCUUCACCAUUUUUUGUUAAAAAAAAUAUAUUUUCAUUUCACAAUCAACUCAAUGGGCUUAAACAAUAAUUGUCUCUCAACCUCAACUUAAUUGUUAGUAAUUCAUUUGUUAUAUUAGAAGUUACAUAUAUUGAACCCUCUUGUAUGAUAGUGGGUUUGAGACUUGGCACCAAAGAUAUUGAACCCUCUUGAAGUGUCCCAUUAUCACUUCUACGCAGCAAUUCUUCUUUGGAUUUUGUAACUUUAUGCUCAUAAAUAAUGUAAUAAUUAUUUAACUCAAGGAUAUAAUGAAAUCAUGGAGAGAAAACACCUUUUGCACCUCAAAUUAAAGAAAUUUAUAAUGAAAUCAUGAAAAGAAAACACUUUUUGCGCCUCAAAUUUAUUGUAAUUUAUAACUAGACUAGCUAUAUGUAGUAAUGUACUCAUUGUUUGAUAAAUUCUUUGAAGUACUAUAUAUAUAUAUAUAUAUAUAUAUAUAAAAUGAAACAAUUAGAAGGCUUGUUGAAGGGUAUGAGAGAGAGAGAGAGAGAGAGGGGAGGGUAUAGCUAUAUGUCCAUUAAUGUAUAUGUGAAACUUUCAGGUAUGGAAGGUAUAUGAAUUCAGACUAAAAGGUGUGACAAAGAGAAACAAAAACUAUUAAAUGUUGGUCAUUAAUAUAUUAUCAUUUACGUUAGAGAUCUAGAAGAAAACACUGCAAAAUUCAGUUGUAUUAAGCAGUGUUGCAUGGCAAAAUACAUAGGAAAAAGCACAGACUUCAAUGUUGUACUAAAGGCAUAAAGAACAUUACCUGAGUUGUUUAAUCAACCAAAAGGAUAUAUAGAAUCUGAUCUCACUCACAGUUUCAAUCAGCCAAAAAGAUCAUUUUUUUUCUUAUAAUAUAUUAUCCAUUUUAUCAUGCAAAAAAAAAAAAAAAAAUUUAAUUAAUUACACCUAUAUGGUUAAAGAACAAAGAAAAUGACCUUGGGAAAAGAGGGAAGAAAAAUAGAAAGUGAAAGGAAGAAAAAUUUCAAAAGAAGAAGACAGCAUGUUUUCCUAUUACAAUUAGUCAAACAUCAGAAUCAAGAAAGAAUUACUACAUCAGAACCCAAGAAAUUCAAUUUGUUUUCAUAAGUAUGAAUUUGGAAGAAAAGUGGAAGAUAUAAAAGUUGAAUAAACCACAUAUAUGAACACAGACACAACAUGGACACUUAUACACUAAUACCGCUAAUAAUUUAAGAAAAUUACAUAAUUCAGUGUAAUCAUAUGCGUCAGUGUCGUGUCGGUGUCGGACACGACGACACUGAGACACGCCUAAUCUGAUGAGUGUCUGUGCUUCACAGGAGGAGGGUUUUGCAAAGAUGUAGCUCAAUGGUAUGAAUUUGGACACUAAAUUAAUAUUAAGGAGAAGAAGAUCUAUAGGUUGGUGCUAAGGUUUUGAAAAGAAGGAGAGCAAGAAGAAGAAGAAGAUCUUGAAGAUGUAGAUUAAUUACUAACCUGCAUGUUGUUGUAUCUGUUGAAGGUUUUGCAGCAAACAGGACAAGAGAAUUGUGUAGGACCAAUAAGAAUCUGAGAAGGAGUAGGGAUCCAAUACUGACCCUUGUUAAGUGAUCUAUUGGGACUCAAAAAUCCAGCUGAAGAGGAAUCAUCGCUAAUAGCAACAUCUACAUCUCCUUGUAAUCGAUCUCGUUCAUUAAUCAUCGUCUCAGAAGACGAAGACAACAUCAUAGUUGCAAUCUCAGAAGAACUAGGGCUUGGUAACCCUAUAUGAAGUGCAACAGUCACACCUUCAUGAUCUUCUUUUUCUUCUACUUUACGAAUACAAUCAUCCACAUCCAUUAAAGUGCAAGAUUGAUGAUGGUGAUGGUGAUGUUGUUGAUGUUGAUUAUGUACCUCAUCUUCAUAUUCUUCCUUUUUUGUAGGGAUAAGACUCAAAAGUGGAAGGGCUUCUUUUAAAGGAGGGGAAGAUGGUGAAGAAUAUGAAGAAGAAGAAGAAGAACAAGAUGCAGUUGUAGUUUGAAGAUGGUGAUGAUGAUGAUGAUGGUAGUGGAAAAAGGUGUUGUUGGUGUUACUAUGGUUGAAAGUUGUGUGGUUAAUGAAAUUGUGAAGAUAAUUAGGGUGGUUGUGAUGGGAUGAAGGGUUUGAAGAAGAAGGGUAAUGGUUUGUUGGAUUAUUAGUAUUGAAUUGGAAGAAAUUGGAUGAAAAGAAAUUUGAGUAAGGGUCUGCCAUUGAUGAGAAAAAUUAAAGAAAAUAGAAAAAGAAAAGAAAAGGAAAAAGUAUAGUGUUGAGGUGAGAGUGGGAACAGUUCUCAGGCAAUUUGUGGAUUCACUUUUAUAUAGUAGCAGAUAGAAAAAAAGUACAAAUAUCAUUCAAGGAAGUAGUGGACGGUGGAGAAAGAGAGAGUAUAUGAAGCUGGCAUGGGGAAAGAAGUAAAGUUAAGUUAGGAGAAAAAAAAGGUAUAAUGAUGUUAAUAAAACUAUUUUUUGUUAACUUUUGGGACAAUUGUUUUUAUUUCUUUUUAUUUAUAAAAAAUUAAUAGAGAGAAAAUAAAGAAAGAGAUGAAAAAUACAAUCAGGAGAGAGAUAGACACAGAGUAUGAAGUGGGUAAGGAAAAGAAGUAAAGUUAUGUAAGGAGAAAAAAAAAUAAUGAUAUUUAUAGAAUUAUUCUGUGACCAUUUUUGGCUCAAUCUUCUUUUUUUAUAGGCCAAAUCAAUAGAGAAUGAAAAAGAAAAAGUGAAUAAGAAUCCAAUGAAAGUAUGAGAAAGAGUUGUCUAAAAGUCAUUAUAAAAUGGUUGUACAUAUAUCAUUUCUCAAAAAAUAAAACUAUGUAUAUCCAUUUAUUUUAAAUUAAGUGUUUUUUUUAUAUUUUAUACAAUUAUUAUUAAAUAAAUGAUUAAUAAUGUUUUUCAUUUUAAUGGUGAAAUAUAUUUCAUUUAUUAUAAGAUUUUUAUUAAGGAAAAUAAAUAAUAAAUAUGUUAAGGGAAAUAAAUAAUAAAUGUUGUAUUACUACUCGCGUCCCAAAUUAUAUUUGGGGGAAAAUUUGUUAAAAAUUACAAAUCGCUUUAUAACAUUAGUAAAACAUUAAUGAUUAUUUCCUUAUUAUAUCAUUUACUAUUAUAUAUUCUUUUAUUUCAAUUCUUUAAUUUCUUUUUUCUUUAGUAUUAAUCAAGAAUAAUUUUGUAAAGUUACUUAUAAUUUUGUUUUCCAUACAAAAUUAACUAUAUUUUUUAACUUAUGUGAAAUUUUUAAAACGAUUUAUAAUUUAAGUCGGAUGGAAUAUUAGAAAAUGAGAAAAAAUAAUUUGAGACAAAGAAAAAUUGUAAAGAGGGUAUUUAAUUGACGGGAGGAGUAACAUAUUGCUCCAAGUUGCUUCGGAGAAAAAAUUGGUCUCAAAUUAUAACUAAGUCAUUUUACAAAAGAGUAAAUAUGCAUUACCCCUUGAAAUUGUAAGUUUCGUCAUUUACCUUCUGAAAUUAACAAAACUUCAAUUACCUCCGUAAAAUUGCACAACGUUAAUCAAUUUACCCCUUCGUUAAAUUUUUCUAUUAGUGAACAUGACAUUUUGCUCCAAGUUUCUUGGCUUGUUUUAGUAUCAAAAUAAAAAAAGGUUUUGUGUCAUGUUUUAUACAGGAAAAUUAGUUCACAUCUAAUUAUGUAUUAAUCUUGUUCUUGUCUUAUGAAGGUGGUGCACACUCCUUAAUUGUGACUUUGUUUCUCCUUAUUGCUACUCAUGUUAAGCCUAAGCCUAGUAAACUCAAAGUGAUGAGUGCGAAUUUUACCAGGAUCGUUGUAAAAAUAACCCUUAUUGUCACUUUAAAAAAUACACAUUUUUCGCUUCCCCAAUUUUUUUUAAAAAAACUAUUGGAAAAGCAAACAGGUACAAGCCUAUUUUGAUGUAUAUAUGCAUGAGGUUUUCCCAAACUCCAAGAUUAAUAGUUAGCUUUAAUAUUUAGUUGUUAAUUUGUUGCCUUUAAGAAAAAAAUAAUAUAAAAUUUUAAGUUUGGGGGGCAUUUCGCACAUAAGUGCAAAACUUUAGGGCGGUAUUUGCAAAAUGUCAUGUUCACUAACAGAAAAAUUUGACGGAGGUGGCAAAUUGAUUAACGUUGUGAAAUUUCAGCGGGGUAAUUGUAAUUUUGUUAAUUUUAGGGGAAUAAUUGAAGAAACCUACAAUUUCAGGGGGGUAAUUGCCUAUUUAUUCUUUUACGAAAUCAAUAAAGCGUUAAAUCUUAAUUUUCCUAUUAUAACCUUCAUUAUUUAUUACUCUUUCUUUUUCAAUCUUUAAUUUAUCUUUCGGAUACCAUCAAUGAAAUAUAAUUUUGUAAAAUUAUUCAUAUUUUCUCUUUCCUAGACACAAUUGAUUACAUUUUUUAAUUCGUAUAAAAUGACCAAAACGACUUAUAAUUUGUGUCGAAGGAGUAAGAUAUAUAUAUUUUCCUUAAAAUAAUUUAUAUUACGGGGGAGAUACUCAAUGCAAAGUUCUCGUGAGUUUACCUCAGUUGGUAUGGACAAUGCAUAAAAUAUGAAAUGUUUGAGGUUCGAACCCCAGCCACCACCAAAAAAGAGAUACUCGAUGCAAAGUCACCAACAAUCAUAACUUCAUAGAAAACUUACAAUAUUUUUUAAGUAUAAUUUUUUAUAAAGGGUAGAGAUUUUUAACCCAAAUUACAACAUGUGUGACCAAAAGUUGUUCCAUAGCUCAAUUAAUUUAAGUUAGAAUUGAAAUAGUUGAAGAAAUCAAAAGAUCGGAGAUCAAACCCAAAUGAAUGAGUACACAAUAAUAUAUAUAAUAACAUCGACCCGUGCUAACGCAUGGGUCAUAUGUAACGCCCUACUUCUAUUAAAGCGAUAAAACACGCGAAUAAUAUAAAUAUUCAAGAAACAGACGCUACGCCUUCAACAAAAACUAAAUCAACAUGCAUAUAUAAAAUUUCUCAACAGUCGCAGCGGAUAUAAAUCAUACAUCUCCAAAGUAUACUUGUCAUGUGAUCAAAAUACAUCAUCAUAUAAAUUCUCCAAAUCCCGACAAAUGGGUAAAUCUCCACAACAUAAAUAAGUCAGAAUAAACGAUCUAGAAUAAUCAUAAGACAGACAUCCUAGAUCCGAGCCUACCCUAAGACUCUAAGGAAACGAUAACGGAGAUAGUUCCCGCUAUCCAAGCAAUCACCAAAAGCAACUAAUCCUGCACUUCGUUUACCCAUCCAUACAGACAGGUAGGCGGUCAAAACCACUGGGGUAAGCUUUACAUCAAACAUAAUCACUAAAAUAAAUUUCAACAUAAAUGAAUCAUUUCAAGUUAUAAGCAAGCAAUCAUUGUAACACCCUCCUUAAUUAUUUUAUUAUUUUUAUAGAGUUUAGAGUCUAUUAUGUGAUUUAAAUGAUUAUGUGAUGUGUGUUAUUUUAUUUAAGAGGCUUUAUUUUAUUAUUUAAUAGAAUAAGAUUUGAAAAUAAAUUAAAUAUUGAGAUGAGGGGUUGGUUUAAGAAUUUAGAGAGUUUUGUGGGAAAAGAGGAAAUAAGAUAAAAUAGAUGGAAAGAGAUAAAUAGGAGAAAAUAGGUUUAGAAUGUUUUUCACGUAUAAUCAGUUUUGGAGAAAAGGGAGAACAAGAGGAGAGAAGAACCAAGAGAGAGGCUGUCGAUCGAUUUUCUAAGGUAAGGGUGGGACUAACAUUCAAUCUUCUUAAGCCUAUGAUUAUGAUAAUUAGAUUUAACAUGUUGUAGGUUUAGUUUUUGAGAAAUUGAAAUUAGGGUUAAGAGUGAUAAUUGAUGAUUAGAUGAUGAAAAAUUGCUGAAUUGAUGUAGAAAGUGUGUUCAGACCUUAGAUAAUCCAUAGAGUGAUGUUUAGAAUCAGCUUUAAGCUUAGAACCACGUGAUUUGAUGCAUUUUCGUGAAAAACUGCAUUCUUCCCAAGCUGACAUUCAUCGCUCGCCUCAGCGAGCAGCAAGUCUCGCCUCGCGAGCAAAUCCCCUCGCCUCGCGAGUUGCACCUUGUAGCUCGCCAUAGCGAGCAGAUCACUCGCCAUAGCGAGUUGACCAGUGAGGAAAACCUGAUUUUGAGAAUUAACUCCUUUAGUCGAGCUUUAAAUGGUUUUGGGUGCCUGAACAUGUAUAAGAAUGAUUAGGCAAGUUUUUAGAUUGAAAUUGAACAUAGGGAAGUUAAAAAUGGAAUUUUUGGGUGAAAAAUGUCAAGUUCCCGAGAGCACCCAAUUUCUAGCUCGCCAAGGCGAGCGGCCUUUUUCUGAACUUGCCAUAGUUUAGGGUUCUUGCGAUCUUUGUUGCAUGUGAGGUUAUGAGUUGACCCUUGGGGUAGGAAUGGAGGUUGAUUAUAGUACUGUUGAUGUUCAGUGAGUCUGAUAUAAUAUGAUUUGAUGUUGUUAGUAAUGAGAUAUAUUUGUAUAUGCAUUAUGUGGAUUAUAUAAGAUGUUUAAGUUGAUUUUUAUUAUCAUUUGAUAUUGUUAUAUCUUGAGAUGUUUAUGUGCUGCCUAUGUUGUUGUUGUAUAUUAAUUAAGCUGCAUGUGUCGUUUUAAGAUGUAAGAUGUCGUUCCAAAGUAUUGGAGUCUUAAGUUGUUGAUGUUGUCCAAGUUGUACACGUUGUUGAGUCCAUGGAUACUUAUUAAGUUAAGGGCUAGAUGCCCUAGGAGCCUUUGCUCAACACGUUGGGGGCUUGAUGCCCUGUGAGCUUUUGCAAAAAUAAGUUGGGGGCUUGAUGCCCUGGGAGUGUAUUUAUGCUCAAAUAAGUUGGGGGCUUGAUGCCCUGGAUUGGUACCACAUGCAUGAUUAAGAAGAUAAAGUUGCAUAGUCAAGUUUAAGUUGCAUUGUCGAGUCAAGUUGUUAAGUUGUUAAGUUGUUAUCCAUGAGUUGUUAAGUUGAUAUGUUUUAAUGAAGUGCUUUAAGAAGAAUAUAUUAUUAUUUAUGAUGAAAUGAUGAUGUUUAGGUUGUUAAAUAUAAUUGAUGAAUUAUAUGCUUAAUAUUAUUGUUUGUGAAAUCUCACCCCUUCUGCUUGGAAAUGUUGCUCUUCGUAUGGGUAACUUGUAGGUGAACAAGAGUAGUUGUUGUUAGUUGCUGUCGUGAGUGGUUUCUCUCUCACGUGUGUCUUAGGUGCUCUAACACGUAACGGGAUGAGAAUUUGUUAUUGCUUUUGUUCCUUACGUAUUACUUUAUGAAGUUUCAUGACUAUGUUUUUAGAUUGUAUUUUACAAGAUGUUUAUGAUGAGGCCUUCGUGCUAAAGACCGUAUUAGUUGUUGAAUAAAUUCCGCUGCGAAGUAUUAAAUAUUAUGCUAUUGAGUUUUGAAGGAUAAAUGGCUAUUUAUUUCCGAUUAUGAUUUUAUGAAAGGAAUUGUGACAUUCCGUUUAUGUGGAAUACUAUGAUUAUUUAUGUGAAAUUUUUAUGUUGGUAAAACGGGGUGUUACAAUUGGUAUCAGAGCAGGUCGGUCCGUCCGGCCAAGUAGUAGAGUCGAGUUGUGUCAAGUAACAGUUGUAAUACUGUCUUAUGUUGUUUCGAUUGUUGUUUGUUGUGUAGAGAACUAAGAUGGCUGGAAGAAACAACACUGCGAUUGCUGCUGCAUUGGAAGCUGUGGCUCAAGCUGUGGAGCAACAACCUAAUGCUAAUGCUGGUGCUAAUGCUGAAGUUAGGAUGUUGGAGAUUUUUGUGAGGAAUCAUCCACCUACCUUCAAAGGAAGGUAUGACCCUGAUGGAGCUCAGACGUGGCUCAAAGAGAUUGAGAGAGUUUUCCGGGUUAUGCAAUGCACUGAAGUGCAGAAGGUGCGUUUUGGUACGCACAUGCUAGCUGAGGAAGCUGAUGAUUGGUGUGUGAGUCUUCUACCUACCCUAGAGCAAGAUGGUGCAGUUGUUACUUGGGUUGUGUUUAGGAGAGAGUUCUUAAACAGAUACUUUCCGGAAGAUGUUCGAGGGAAGAAAGAGAUUGAGUUCCUUGAGGUGAAGCAAGGAAAUAUGUCAGUGAUUGAAUAUGCUGCAAAGUUUGUGGAGCUAGCUAAGUUUUAUCCGCACUACACUGCCAAGACUGCUGAGUUUUCUAAGUGCAUCAAAUUUGAGAAUGGCUUGCGUGCUGAGAUCAAGCGAGCAAUUGGUUAACAGAAGAUCCGUAACUUUUCUGAGCUGGUGAGCAGUUGCAGAAUAUAUGAGGAAGAUACUAAGGCUCAUUACAAGGUUGUGAAUAAGAGGAAAGGCAAGGGUCAGCAAAGUCGUCCAAAGCCUUACAGUGCUCCUGCUGAUAAGGGCAAGCAAAGAGUUAAUGAUGAGAGGAGACCAAGAAAGAAAGAUGCUACUGCUGAGAUUGUUUGCUAUACUUGUCCUGGGGAUGUGAAACAAUGUUUUCGUUGUGGGAAGAAGGGGCAUACUCUUGCAGAAUGUAAGCACGAUGAUGUGGUGUGUUUCAAUUACAAUGAAGAAGGUCAUAUUGUUUCACAAUGCGAGAAACCUAAGAAGACUCAGACUAGUGGAAGAGUGUUUGCUUUGACUGGUACGCAAACAGAGAAUGAGGAUCGUUUGAUUAUAGGUACAUGUUACUUUGAUAGUACUCCUUUAAUUGCUAUUAUUGAUACUGGUGCUACAUGUAACGCCCUAUUUUAUUAUUUAUUUAUUUUAUUGAGUUUAGAUGUCUUUUUAUAAUUUAAUCGAUUUAUUUUGAUGAGUGAUAUUUUGUUAUGUUAUAUGUUGGUAUUUGUUAGUAGAAAUAUAUAUGUAAUUUGGUGUAGAAAUAUAUAUGUUACUUGGUAUAGAAAUAUUAUGUUAUUUGGUGUAGAAAUAUAUGUUAUUUGGUGUAGAAAUAUAUGUUAUUUUGUGUAGAAAUAUAUGUUAUCUGGUGUAGAAAUAUAUUUUUUAUUUGGUGUAGAAAUAUAUAUAUAUGUUAUAGAAAAAAUAUUUGUUACAGAGAUAUAUUAGUUAUUUGUUAUAAAAAUAUUUUUUAUAUAUAUAUAUAUAUAUAUAUAUAUAUAUAUAUAUAUAUAUAUAUAUUAGAAUAGAAUAUUGAGAUUUGAGGGGCAGAUUUGUAAAUAAGGGAAAAUAAGUAGGUUAAGACUUAUAGAAAAGGGGAGAGUUAGAAUUAGAAAAUAAGGAUUAUGUGAAACCUGUUUUUGGAGAAAAAAGGAGAAAACCAAGAGAAGAGAGAAGUCAAAGAAGAGAAGAAUCUUGUGAGAAGAGGUGCAAUCUUGUAGAGUCCGAUCAUCUAAUUUAAGGUAAGGGUGGGACUAACUUUCUCUAAUUCUAAGUUGUAUAAUUCUGAAAUUGAGUUUAGCAUGUUGUAGGUUGUAGUUAUGGGAAUUUGGGAAUUAAGUUUUGAAGUUGUAAUUGGUUGUUAAUAGAGUAGAAAAUCCGUUGAAUUUGUGUAGAAUUGAUGUUCAGAUCAUGAAUUAUUUUUAGUGCAAUGUUUUAUAUGGUUUUGAGUGUCUUAACAUGUAUUGAAAUGGUUAGACAAGUUUUUGGAUCAAAUUUGGGCAUAGGGAAGUUAAAAUUGCGAUUUUGGGGUGAAAAGUGGGUUUUUCCCGAGUUGCUCUUUGACAGCAUGUCCUGUUUCAUGUUCUUGCGUCUUUUUCACACGUUUCUGUUUUGAAUUAACCUUUGGUGUAAACAUGAAAGUUGUAGAUAAUUGAGUUAGGUUUCCAGUGGCUUUGGUUUGAUGUGAAAAUGAUUUUUGGUUCUUGAGAUAUGAUGAAAAUAAUCCAAAGAGGUCUUAGUGAAAUUUUAUGAAAAUUCAGCAUAACCGUUUCUAAGUUAAUCCAAAACUUAAGGAAUAAUUCCAAACCUCAAAACUAGAAGUACUAUGGGUUCAAUUAGGGUGUUUAAGUGUAUUUAACCUAUGUUGUGAUGGAUAUAAUUUGGUUUGAUGUGAAUAUCUUUGUUAGAUAAUUUGAAAUACAUAUAUUAUGUGAAUGUUGUUGUUGAAUAAUUUGAGUUACAUAUAUCUAUGUGGAAAAGGUAUGAUAUAGAAAAUAAUGUUGUUAUAUCAUUCAAGUUGUUAUUAUUAAUGAUGCUAUGUUGUGAAGUUGUUGUAUGUUGUUGUCUCUUCUGUAUUGAUUAUUAAAUCAUUAAGUUGCAUAUGUUGGUCAAGUUGUUAAAGUUGUAAGUUGUUGUCAAUGUCGUUAAAGUUGUAAGUUGUUGUCGAUGUCGUUGAAGUUGUUGGUUGUCGUUGCAUUAGUUGUUGAGUGCAUGCAUACUACUCAUUUACGUUGAGGGCUUGAUGCCCUGUGANNNNNNNNNNNNNNNNNNNNNNNNNNNNNNNNNNNNNNNNNNNNNNNNNNNNNNNNNNNNNNNNNNNNNNNNNNNNNNNNNNNNNNNNNNNNNNNNNNNNAGUGCAUUGGAAAAGCUGAAGAAAUAUCCAAAAGCUGAAAUUUAUGAUGUGUUGAGAUUGAGUUAUGAAGGAUUGGACCCUGAGGAGCAGAAUAUAUUUUUAGAUAUUGCCUGCUGUUUGAAAGGACAAACAAAAAGCCAAAUAACAAGUAUAUUAGAUGCAUGUGAUUUUUCUACUGAAAUUGGGAUGAGAAGCCUUGAAGACAAGUCUCUUGUAACUGUUUCUAAAAACAACACAGUACAGAUGCAUGAUUUGAUACAAGAAAUGGGACGUUUUGUAGAAUCUGAGAAAAAGCCUGGAGAAAGAAAACGGUUGUGGGAUCCUAAAGAAAUUUAUGAUGUCUUCAAGCAUAACAAGGUAGGGUUCAAAUUUCUUAGUCUGCACCACAUUUCUAAAUAUGUCCAAAGCAUUAGUAAAUUAAUCUGUCGAGCAUGUUUAACACUCUAAAUUUGUUUACUCCUUUUAUUUUCCAGGGUAUUGAAAGUAUUGAGUGUGUUGUGUUGGACAUGUCUCAAAUCAAAGAGUUGACAUUAAGCCCUCAAACAUUUCAGAGAACGCACAGGCUCAGAGUUUUGAUAUUUUAUAUACCCUCCAGUGAUACGAGAAGAAUCAAUGUGCAUAUUUCCAGAGGUCUCAAUUGCAUGCCUCUCGAAAUAAGUUAUUUCAGAUGGGACUGUUUUCCAUUGAAAUCCUUGCCACCACAGUUUUGUGCGGAGAAGCUUGUCGAACUUGAUAUAAAACAUAGCCGAAUUGGAAAGCUUUGGGAUGGAGUACAGGUAUUUUGUGGAAACUUGUUAACUUCAUAGACUUAAAAGAACUGAUAAAAAAAUCUACAACUUGUGAAAUUAAGUUUUGGUUUCUUAUAAUACAGGAUCUUGUGAAUUUGAAGUCAUUAUGCCUAAGUGGUUGCAAGAACUUGGUUGAGCUCUCAGAUUUGUCUUUGGCCUCGAAACUUGAGAAAGUACAUCUUGAUGAUUGUGCGAGCUUGUUGAAUGUUCCUUCAUACAUUUUGUCACUUGAUAGUCUGCUUGCACUAAAUCUGAGAGACUGUAAACAGCUCUGUUACAUUGAAAGUGAGAAGCCAUCUAGAUCUCUUCGAUGGCUUAAUUUGAGAGGGUGCUCAAGACUUGUAAGGUAUUCAGUUUUUUCCGAGGAACUGGAGUACUUGAACUUGGAUUUCACGGCAAUUGAAGAACUUCCUCACAACCUCAACCUCUUACCAAAGUUAAAAAAAACUAUCAUUAAGAGGAAGUGAUAUUGAGAUAUUGCCUGCUAGCAUACAACAUCUCUCCUUGUUGAGAGCUCUCGAUGUAAGUAACUGCAGGAGGUUUCGUUCCAUGCCCAAACUCCCAUUAUUGCUACAAGACUUGAAUGCAAGCAAUUGCAUAUCCCUAGAAACAGUUUCAAAUUCAGGGAUCACAAUGUUGCAAGAUUCUUUUGGUAAGCUAAACAAGAGAACAUUGUUGACACAGAUUCACAAGGAAGAACAAAUGUCUAUUCGUCAUCGUGACUAUUUGGGUAGAUUUGAGUUUCAUAAUUGCAUAAAGUUGGAUCAGAUUGCACGCAUGACUGUUAAGGAGGAGGCACUAAUUAGAAUUCAGCUAGCAGCUUACUUGUCAUCAAAGAUUCAAGUGUUUUCUGAUCCUUAUUGUCAAGAUGAUGAUAAAGUUUCAAAGAAUUUUGACCAUGAGGAUUUUCUAUAUGUAUCCCGGCCCUUUUAUAGUAUUUUACUGGGAAAUAAAGUGCCAGAUUGGUUCCUGCAUAAAGAAACAAACUCCUUGUUCAUCACUAUUGAAUUUUCUGAACGAUGGAAUUUACUGUGCAGAUGCCGGGGGUUUGCCUUCUGCCUUGUUCUUGGAGCAUCCGAAUCAAACAAGAACAUUCAUCGUACUGGUCUUAUUGCAGGGUGUAGAUACAAUUUUGGAGGCAAAUAUAAAGGAACAUCCAUUUUGAAGUCUUCUUAUAGUGAUGCUAAGUCAGACCAGGUAUGGCUUUGGUAUGACCAAAUUUUAGAAGUUGCAGAUUUCCCAAGGACAAUACCAUGGAAGGUCUACUUUGAGUUUUUUGUUCGGUCGGGUUGUUCAGGGUCUAUAGUGAAACAGUGUGGAAUUCAACCAUUGUAUGCUCCAUUCGACAUCAUGCAAAGCUCACAUGAAGAAGUUAAUAGAGAAGGUAAGAAGCCUUACCAUGAGCUUGAAUACAAAAAAGAUCCAGGAAAUUACUGGCUUCUUCGCCACUAUGCUCACCCUCCUGAUGGCCUUGGAUUUCCAUCAAAACAACAAAGGAUUUCUGGGUGUCAUGAUGGACAUAUUAUGGAACCCAUUCCAUCUACUUAUUGUGCCAGGAAGGUUGAUCAUAUUCAUAUGGAACACAAUCAUGCUGAAGUAUUUGUUAAUUUUGGUCUUAUUCGUAGUGGUUACCACCAACCACGCGAUCUGCAGUGUUUAGCCCAAAUGCUUCUGGAUAACUAUUGUUAUUACGGUAAACUUGUAGAUAAUAUCGAUAUCUUUUCAUCCCUAGGGAGAUUGUCGCUAAGUGAUUGCAAUGUUGAGAGCUUUCCUUCUAGAAUUGCAAACCUUUCAAGGCUGAAAGACCUUCGAAUAAGAAACUGCAAGAGCCUUAGGUCUCUGUCCAAACUUCCACUAUCCCUUCAAUUUUUGUAUGUCAAAGGGUGCACAUCUCUGAAGACGGUUGGAUUUGCUGAGGAAUACUUCAUGAGAGUUGAUGUAAUUGUUCGCGGUGAACGGAUAACUAGGGUCAUUGAAGAAGUGUCGAGAAUACAAGUUACUGACCCACGAGCAAAUGUCAGGAGCUGGACCAUGCGCAAGUUUGGGUCUUCGAUGGUCAUUUGGUUCCAAGUUGCUUCAAUUUUAGAUUUAUUGAAUGUUGAGAGACGUGACUGUACAAUAGAAGUUACCGUCAAGGAGUUGGUAUAAAUUGGGUCUUAGAUGACCAUUAUGUUCAAUGUUGCUUAGACACUAUUUGAAUUAGGUCCUCCAAUCCAAAGUUCAAUUAUAAAUUCUUCUAAUACAAUUUGGUAAAAUCAAUUUUAAUGCCUUCUUUCAUCUUCCCAAUAAUCGAUGUGGUUAUCACUUGUAUCGCAGGAAAAUUUGAAGAUUGAUUAAAAAAUUGGGUUGUUGUUCUCAUUGAGUGUGUGAUUCGUGAACUCGUAGGAACAAACCACUAUAUAAAUAGUUGAUACUAUUAAAUUGGAAUUGAUUAAGGGUAACAAUUUUGUUUGAUUGUGUACAACAUUCCAAAGCAAGUUUGGAUUUUGUAUAUUGGCACAUCGAUGAAAUUGAAUCAACCUAUUUCUUUAUUUUAACGUCAUACCAGAAAAUAGAGAUAUAUACACAAAAUCAAUAAAAUUAGAAUUUAAUUAGAAAAACAAAAUGAAAUAUUUAGUGGAUAGAAUCUAAAUAAAUAAAUGCAUCAAAGUAAGUGAAAAAAAUUAAUGUAUGCACAAUAUCUUGCUUGUUGGAUUUCAUAUGUUUGUCGUAAGCGUAUGUUAGGUUGCGCGUUCACAACCUCCAAAAUGAGUUUCCUUCUCCAAACACAAGUCAUAUAGAUCGUGCGUAAAAUGCCGAAAUGCGAGUCAGAUCGAAGCCACAAAUCCAUGCUUUUGCGGCACAGCAAAUGUGAGUACAAGCAUGUAUAAUUACCAAAUUAAAGCUUUCUUCUUCAUUACCAUCACUACUAUGAUAUACUUCUUCUCCCUAUUAUUACAUAUGUAUCAUAAUUUCUCAGAUUUGCAGAUGAAACAAAGAGAAUAGUGGAAAGAUAAUAAAUUAAACUUAAAACAAGAAAAAUGAAUUGAAGAUCUAUGGUUUUGCUUAUGGAACUUCUCGUUCUUCCCUCAAUGACAAUAACGUUCUCACUCUGUUUUAGUGGAUAACCACUUCAUUGUUGCCGUGAGUGGUCUAUCAAUUAACUUUUUGACCAAAAUCAAUUAUGUCAAAUUCAAUUCUAUCAAAUUAAGUUUUCACCACCGCAUAGCCAUACAUAUACCAAGUGUGUAAGAUUAAGUAACUAAAUUGAUCUAGACUCUAGAGUGUUGCAACAGCAACUCAAAAAAUGAAUUAUAUCAAAGAUGAGUGGUCUAAGGAGCUGUAGAGUGUUGUGUAACACAUGAGAAUAGUUUUUUUGCUGGUGACUGGGAUUCGAACCCCAGACCUUGUAUAAUAUGUUAUGCAUUGUCCUUGCCAAUUGAACACGAUAGUAUUUAUUAGACGGCUCUACAUAAUGGAUAAGAUUUAUGCGUGAAAAGGACAAAUGUAUGGUCCCUCUUUCUGCUAUGUUGUACUGUCCUAGGACAAGGAAUAUUGUUUACUCUUUGGUCAGUUUCGCCUCCAAGGACACACUAGAGUUUGCCCAAUUCCAUGCAAAAGGUCAGAGUGCUGUAAAUUUAAUUUGGAUGCGCCACCAUUUAUUUCUCAGCUCUCAAUUUAAUUUCUUUCACUUAUUUCUUUGUUAAAAUUGAAGCAAGGUGUUCCAUUGAUUGAUAGAUCACUUGUUCUCCUUGGUGUUCUCUUUUAUGUUAUUUAUCUUUUACUUAUACAUUGUUAUAUUGGAUUUGAACUUAAGAUCCUUGCCAAUGUUUUCCAUCUUGCUCAUUAUAAGCUAAAACAACUGUGUUGGAUUAUGUGAAAUUUGAUAAUGUCUUCGUUGUUUUUCAAGUGAAAACAUAGUGUGUUUAUGCAUUUUUAGCACUUCUUUAUUGCUAUAUAUUUACUUUGAGCCUGAUCAGCUUAGGGUGCAUAUGAGUUUGUUGAGUAGCGAAAGCGUUCGAUUGAACCGGCAUGAAGACAUGAAAGAAAUUCCAAAUCACAUAGUCAAAGUAUCACAGCUCCCAAAUAAUAGAGUAGAUUCAGUAAAGUAAAACAGAACAGUUGUAAAUCAUCACAGUGCACACAACUUAAUUGAGCCCAAGAGCUUGAGCAUGAUGCUUGAUGUGAUCAUCAAUGAAGGUGGCAAUAAAAUAGUAGGAGUGAUCAUAACCAGGUUGAAGACGUAACAGCAGUGGAACAUUGCCAUUCUUGCACGCCUCUUCGAACUUGUGAGGCAACAGUUGAUCAUGCAAAAAUUUGUCAUCUUCCCCCUGAAAAUUAAAGAAAUAGUAAGAAGCAGAAAGAAUUCAAGAGUGUAGGAGCAUCUAUGCAAUCACUUGAAAUCUUGCUCGCGACAAACAGCAUUAUAUCUGCCUUACCAUUUUGAUUUAUUCAACUUGUGAUAAAAAAUUAAUUUCUCAAAUACAAAUCUAAUAAAAUCUUACAGGAAAGCAGCACCUAAAAUUUUGCCAUUCACUUUUAUUAUACCGUUAACGAUUAAAAUAAAAGUAAAUAAAUAAAAAUCACAUGAUCAUGUACCUGAUCAAUCAAAAUAGUGGCAGAUACGUUGGGAUACUUCCCUACCUGAGAAGUGGCAUCAUAAUCCUGCAUUUUUCAACUGCUUAUUAUAAUGAAAUAUCAACUUAACAAGUAUGAGAACAUGAAAGUUUCCCCUCUAAUUUACCUCCCAAUCAGAUUUAUUGCCACCUAGAUAAUUCGUGAAUGCCUUCUGUCCCCAAGGACAAUUCGUAGGAUUUGCUACUGGUGCAAAGGCAGAAACUGACUGUAACAAUAGUGCAUCAAAACACAGAAGAAUAGAAAACAAAGUUAGAACUCCCAAUAAGUACAGUACUUAUCAUGACAAAGGACAGUCAUAUAUGUUGUUAGAGUUCUACGAACAUAAAAAACUUCACCAAAAUAAUGCGAGAUUUGGUUCAAACUUGCAAAAAUCUUAAAGAGUUAUGAAUAACAAGUAUAUGUGCAAAAAUCUCGUAAACAAGUUCUCCUCCAACCUUCUCCCGGCAUGUUCAUUUUUAACUCAUGUAUGUCCACUCAUCCUGCCUUAACAUUCUCAUCUCCCCCAAACUUUUUUUUUUUGUUGCUCUUACUGGCACUUCAAUGCUCAAAGCAUUGCAGGACUUUCAGAAUGUUAGCCAUCUUGCAAACACAAAUUAUAUUGUACCAUUCUUUUAUUUCAGCCACACAACUAAAUUUGUUGUACGCAGCAAUCCCCAGCUAUUAGCUCCAGGACAUUGUUACCAAGAUUGCAAUUUCAUGCUCUAUAGCACUAUUACUUAAAUGAAAUCUCCUUAUUCAGGUGUUUCUAUUCAAGCCUCGACUAAGAAAUUAAAACAAGUGCUAAAGUGAUCAAAUAUAACUAUUUCAUCUGCAGAAAUCAUACAUUAAGGCACGAGCUCUUAAAUGUUUCCAGCCACCUAUAUAAGGUAAAAAAACACGAACUUGAUGCCGACCCUAGGUAUAAUAAACCUAGUUAUAUGGGAAUAAACCUUUUGUUGCACCACAAUUCCAAUUCAGAAGCAUCUUUAUCUGUUGAGAUUGUCUUCAAAUUUGUGGUCUGGAAGAACAGGGAAAUCGUGACACGAAUUUGGCAUCGUGACACGAUUUCGUGGUGCAGUGAGCUAGAAUGCAAGGUGCCAAAUCGUGACACGAUUGUGGGAAAUCGUGACACGAUUGUGCAAACUUGCUCGUUAAGUUUCCAUGAUAAGGACUGGUCAUACCUUGAGACGGAUGCACCAAUCGUGACACGAUCAGGAAAUCGUGACACGAUUUUAUCAGUGGAAGGCAUGUAUUUAAGUGUUCUUGUGCAGAUUUGAAGUGAGAGUUGGAAGAGAGAGAGACUUGGGAAAUCAAAGGGAGCAACUCUAGGGUUUAGGGUUCUUUGAUUAGAGUAUCUCUUGGGUUGAAAACAUGGGAAACACCUUGUAGAGAAAAAAUCAUUGAGUGUCUUGGUGAGAUUGGGAAAAGUGUAGAAAUUAGGGUUUGUUCAUUGUGAACUUGUCAAAUCUAAUUUCUUGCAACCUUUUGUAUCCCUUUUGUAAGAACUCUUUGAUAGUGGAUUGGAGAGUACAAACUCUCCUCCAGAGUAGGUCAAGUUUGGACCGAACUGGGUGACCAAUCUCUUGGUGUAUUUGUUUUCUUCUUCCCUCUCCUUUUAUCUUGUGAUUGUGUAUUGUGUUUCUCACUUGUUUCCUAGAUUAGAUCUAGGUGGUGUUUUGUUGAUUAUUGCUUGCACACACUUAGUUUGGUGGUUACCACUCUCCUUUGCUCCACACAUCAUAUUUCUUGUAUUGGUGUGGUUCGAUUUGAGAUCGGAAUUCACAACACUAUCAAAUGAUCACAGAUCACCUAAAGAAAUGGAAGUUCCAAAUGAAUGUCCUAUCCUAGCUUAGAAUGGAAAAUUGGUGCAGAGAAGAAAGAUAAUAGGGAUUGGAAAAGUCACUACCAACAAUCUAGUCCAAGUCCUUACCCACCUUUAAGAAAAAAGAAGCCUAUUGAUGAAAUUCAAUACUAUAUCCUUCCAAAGAACAUUUACCACACAUAUGUCCUCUGAAUGCCAAUAGAGGAUUUUAACAUAGAUACAUUUCAAAACUCCAAUACUUACCCAUUUCCCCAUUAACUCUUUUUUUUUCAAUGAAAAUUGGGGAAGGAGGAAAAUUUUAUUAUUUAAAGUGGCACUAACGGCCAUUUUACAACCAUCCCCAAGGGGAUUUCAACUCAGUACCAUGAGAUUACAAAGCAAACUCUUACCUCUGAGCUAGCACCUCAGGUAUGAAUUGAAUUUAUGUACUGAGCUAACAUAGAUACAUUUCCAAACCCCCAAAACUUAUCCAUUUCCCCACUAAUUCUUUCCAAACCAUUUUCAAAAAUUUAAUCAAUCCAACCCACCAAAAAGAAAUUUUUUCAGGGGAACUACAUUGGUUUUGAUCCCUUUUCUUUAAGGGUAUGUAGGAAAAGGCGUUAAUCAUUCCAAAUCAAAUAAAAAUAACCAAAAACAUACUUCUUCUCCCUCCAUUCUUUUACUUAGAUUUUUAGGCAAUAAUUUUCAAAUAAGCGAAUUAAUUUAGCACAGGAUAAAUUAGGCAAGAGGUUCCUACAGAGUACCGUAGACGCUUAGAGUGCUAGCACCUUCCCUUCGCGUAAUCAACCCCCGAAUCCAAAGUCUCAAGGGUUUUUACUAACUUUUUCACUUCCCACGAAUAAAAGUUGAGAGUUCAAAGAUUAACGAUUCAAAUCAAUUAAUGGUUUGAUAUCCGAAAAUCACGAGCACAGAUGAGUAAGUCCAACUUUGUGUUGCUUUUACAAGCCAUCUGGUUUAACAAUUAAGUUAUGCUUCAUGUUUGAUUAAAAUUUCCAAUUGGUUUUAUUCCUUACCAAUGUAGCAUUGUAAAAAAAAUAUAGAUAGCUAAACAGUAAACACAUUAAACCAAUAGAACUAAAUGCUAAUGUGAUUUAGCUUAUGUUUUGUCCAUCUGUCUCUAAUUAUAAGUUUUUAUUUUAUUUUAUUAUAAAUUGAAUACUUGAAUAAGUCCCUAUUUUUUUAAAUGUAAUAUGUGUUUUGAUUUUUUUCUCUUCAAACAUACCCCUUGAUAGUAAUACAAAUUUAUCUUUGAUGAAGGGAACAAUUGUUCAUGGUACCCAUGUAACUGCGCUAGAAUAAGGAUAUUGAAGCACCUAUCCAUAUAUUAAUGCACUUACAGCAAAUAUGAUUGAUCAAGUCUCACAAGAUUUUUUUUUUUUAUUUGAUUAUUUCACACAUUAAAAAAGAAUGGUAAAUUUUGUCAAAAAAUUGCAAAAUUAAAGAAAGUGAAUGGUAAAUUUUGAAAUGAUUUUAGCUCAUAAGACUCGUGCGCCGCACGGGUCAUCAAUCUAGUAUAUAUCUUUUAUUUAUUAAAGUUAACCCGAAUGCUAAUUGUUGCCCUAGAUUUAACCUAACCCGAAUGCUUAAUUUUACUAUAUUACCCCUAUAUUUAAUUAAAUCAAAAUAAAAGCAACAGAUCACUCCUAAAUCACUCCUAUUCUUUUGAACAAAACAAAAAUCGCUUUUAUAUAAUCUUUAUUUCAACACUUUAUCUCUUAUUCCUUACAAUUAACCCGAACGCAAAAUUUUACCAUAGAUUUAACCUAGCUUCUUUGCUUAAUUUUACUAUAUUACCCUAUUUAAUUUAAUCAAAAUGUUAAUUGUUAUGGAAAUCAAAAUAAACAAAUCGCUCCUAAUUUUUCUCCUUAAUUUUACUAAACAAAUAAGCAAAUCCUCCUAUUCUUAUAGGAUUAGUCCUCAUCUCUCCUAUUUUUUCUACUUAUGAAAAUGACUUUAUUUUUCUUUUGGAAAGGAUUAAACAGAACUUAAAUAAGACCUCCGUUUCCUUUUAUGUUUUUUUUUUUUUGGAGAAUAUUAUUAAACAAAUCCCCCUACACAUUCUAACGUUCCUAAUUUUUUGUCAAGCAAUACUUAUCAAGAUGUCCUCCUUUUAUGGAAAGCACAAAACAGAUUAUUUCCUUCUGAUGCAAUCCUUUCCUACGUUUCAUUCUGAUGCAAUCUUUUCCUACCUAACAAAAUGCGCUAUUUUUAUUGAAAAGCACUGAACAGAUCGUUUGUUUGAUGAAACAUAUGGCCCUUAUUCUUUUUCAUUUUGAAUAUUCAAGCACCUAUUUUAGAACUUAAAAACAGAAUUAUAAGAUUAGUCCUAAUCUCUCCUAUUUUUUCUACAUAUAAAAAUGUCUUUUUUUUUUUUGGAAAGGACUAAACAUAACUUAAAUAAGACCUGCAUUUCCUUCUGAUGUUUUUUUUUUUGGAGAAUAAUAUUAAACUAAUUCCCCUACACAUUCUAAUGCUUAUGUUCCUAUUUUUUUGUGACAUCGAUAUCAAAUGUGCUCUACAGAGAAGUUUUCCGUAAUGUGUAACACUUUGUUUUGUAGUAUUGUUGUUAUAGCAUAUCAGUACUAUUUUUAUGUCGAGAGACGUUGGAUUUUCUUUUCUUCAAUAAACUAUGUCAUUAAAUUUAUAUGUUAUGUUACCGUAGCAGGGUCGAUGUCAUGGAAAUUGUUUAAUAUGGUACAGUAAAAACGUUUGUGGCAAUUUAUCUUAUGAAUUAAAUUAUACUAUUAUUUCGAUUCAAGUAAAGUAUUUACUUUUAUAUUUACGCUAUAUUUGUUCUUUUGUAUGACCCUAGAUAUCUCUAUGAAAAUUCAUAAAAAAAAUAAUAAUAAUUUGAAUGAGUUCACUAAAUCUUCCUAUGACCCGGAACUCACUUCCUUUGUGAAGUCAGUCAAUGAUAAACAGAUAUUUGGAAAGAAUGCGCCUUCUCUUCUCCAUACACAAGCUCUCACUUAUUGAGUUGUUUACAAAUUGAAGAACCUUAAUUAUUCACCAUGGAUAAAUCUUCAAAGCUCUGAUCCAAAAUUUCAACUAUUCUCCAACAUAAACUACUAAUUUACUAAACCUAAAGCUUUGUUGCAACUACACUCUCAGGUUUGUUUUGCCAAUUCUGCUCCACUACAGUUAUUUUAAUUUAAAUAGUUUAAUUUCAAUCAUUCACCAUUCUAUGACUUCAGUAUAUUAAAAGGCAUGUACAAAGAAUGCUAUGAGCUUGUUACUGGUUAUAUCUAAUUUUUCAUGUUUAACUGGAGUAAUAGACUUUCUCAGCCCAAAUAUCACUCCAAAACAAUAAUCCUUCAAAUUAAGGAGAUAUUGGGUUCAACAUAACUUAGUUGGCUCUAUUUUAUUUAUGAUGAAACAUUGAUGCGGACACCGAACACGGCACUGACACGUCGACACCGCUAAUAAUUUUAGAAAAUAACAUAAUUGAAUGUAAUCGCAUGUGUUAGUGUCGAACACCAGUCAUGGCUUCUAUCAGAAGUGUUAGUGCUACAAAGUAUUUUCGAUUUUUCUUGAUUUAUGUAAUUUGUAAUUAACCUAUUGGUAUACUUCAUCAGAAGUCUGUUGACUUGCCAAAGAAUCGAAGUCAACUCACUACAGGACUUGCUUGCUUAUUGGUGUUUAGAUGGCUUCUUCUUCAUCAUCUUUUGGUGUUUCUCAUUCAAGCUCAAAGCAGCAUAAUGUCUUUCUCAGCUUUAGAGGAGAAGAUACUCGAUACAAUUUUACAAGCCAUCUAUAUGCUGCCUUGUGUGGAAAAAAGAUCCGUACAUUCGUGGAUGAUGAGGAAAUUGAGAGAGGAGAUAACAUCUCACCAACGCUUUUAUCAGCUAUUGAAAGCUCGAAGAUUUGCGUAAUAAUUUUCUCGCAGGAUUAUGCGUCUUCUUCAUGGUGUUUGGAUGAACUUGUGAAAAUCAUUGAAUGCAGUGAGAAGAAAAAACUUGUUGUCAUACCUGUUUUCUAUCACAUCGAUGCAUCUCAUGUAAGACACCAGAGGGGAACCUAUGGAGAUGCAUUUGCCAAACACGAGGAUCGUUUCAGGGACAAUCUAACCAAGGUACACAUGUGGAGAACUGCCCUGCACAAAGCUGCAAACUUAGCAGGAUGGGUUUCCGAGAAAAAUAGGUAAAGUUGGUAAAUAUGUUGUAAAAUAACUGUUUUUUUUAUAGAUAAUAUUCAAAUCUUAGUUAUUAGUAAUUUAGUAUAUUCAUUGAGAACUAUUUUUGAGUGAUUAGCUAAUAAAAAACAACUUUUUGAAAGAAAACAAUAGAUUUGGAAUAAUGUUUAUUUUGAUAUAUCGCCCCAUUUGUGGGUGUGGUAAUAUGCUAUAUGGUUUAUGUAUAAUCCAUAUACAUAAAGAAGUUAUGAUUGUUUGAUUCUCAUGUGUCUAUAAAUUUUGAAAAUUUUCUUUUUCAUCUAGGUCCGAGGCUGUCCUAAUUAAAGAAAUUGUUGAAGUUAUAUUAGACAAGUUGAAAUGUAUGAGCCCACAUGUUCAAAACAAGGGGCUUGUUGGAAUUUCUGUACACGUUGCGCAUGUGGAAUCAAUGUUAUGCUCUGGGUCAGCUGAUGUGCAUAUUAUUGGUAUUUGGGGUAUGGGUGGCAUAGGCAAGACAACCAUUGCAGAUGCUGUGUUUACAAAAGUCUCAUAUCAAUACGAGAGAUACUACUUUGCUGCCAAUGUCAGGGAAAAAUGGGGAAAUCGGAUAAAGUUGCAGAAUGAAGUUAUGGCGGACGUGUUAGAAGACCAAAGCAUCAAAAUUAGUACCCCUACAAUGAGUUCCGCCUUUGCUGUAGAAAGACUUAAAUGUAAAAAGGUCCUCGUCGUUCUUGAUGACGUGAGUUUAUCAGAACAAAUAGAAUAUCUUGUUGGAGGGAGAGAUUGGUUUGGACCUGGUAGUCGAAUCAUAGUGACCACUCGAAACAAAGAAGUGUUUAACAGUGGAGUCGAUGAAGUAUACCAAGUGACGGUAUUAAAUUCUCAUGAAGCCCUAAAGCUUUUUAGCUUGAACGCCUUUCAACAAGACAGUCCAUUGAUCGAAUACCAAAACUUGUCAGAAAGGGCAGUGGGUUAUGCUAAGGGCAUUCCUCUAGCUCUUAAAGUUAUGCUAAGUGCAUUGGAAAAGCUGAAGAAAUAUCCAAAAGCUGAAAUUUAUGAUGUGUUGAGAUUGAGUUAUGAAGGAUUGGACCCUGAGGAGCAGAAUAUAUUUUUAGAUAUUGCCUGCUGUUUGAAAGGACAAACAAAAAGCCAAAUAACAAGUAUAUUAGAUGCAUGUGAUUUUUCUACUGAAAUUGGGAUGAGAAGCCUUGAAGACAAGUCUCUUGUAACUGUUUCUAAAAACAACACAGUACAGAUGCAUGAUUUGAUACAAGAAAUGGGACGUUUUGUAGAAUCUGAGAAAAAGCCUGGAGAAAGAAAACGGUUGUGGGAUCCUAAAGAAAUUUAUGAUGUCUUCAAGCAUAACAGGGUAGGGUUCAAAUUUCUUAGUCUGCACCACAUUUCUAAAUAUGUCCAAAGCAUUAGUAAAUUAAUCUGUCGAGCAUGUUUAACACUCUAAAUUUGUUUACUCCUUUUAUUUUCCAGGGUUUUGAAAGUAUUGAGUGUGUUGUGUUGGACAUGUCUCAAAUCAAAGAGUUGACAUUAAGCCCUCAAACAUUUCAGAGAACGCACAGGCUCAGAGUUUUGAUAUUUUAUAUACCCUCCAGUGAUACGAGAAGAAUCAAUGUGCAUAUUUCCAGAGGUCUCAAUUGCAUGCCUCUCGAAAUAAGUUAUUUCAGAUGGGACUGUUUUCCAUUGAAAUCCUUGCCACCACAGUUUUGUGCGGAGAAGCUUGUCGAACUUGAUAUAAAACAUAGCCGAAUUGGAAAGCUUUGGGAUGGAGUACAGGUAUUUUGUGGAAACUUGUUAACUUCAUAGACUUAAAAGAACUGAUAAAAAAAUCUACAACUUGUGAAAUUAAGUUUUGGUUUCUUAUAAUACAGGAUCUUGUGAAUUUGAAGUCAUUAUGCCUAAGUGGUUGCAAGAACUUGGUUGAGCUCUCAGAUUUGUCUUUGGCCUCGAAACUUGAGAAAGUACAUCUUGAUGAUUGUGCGAGCUUGUUGAAUGUUCCUUCAUACAUUUUGUCACUUGAUAGUCUGCUUGCACUAAAUCUGAGAGACUGUAAACAGCUCUGUUACAUUGAAAGUGAGAAGCCAUCUAGAUCUCUUCGAUGGCUUAAUUUGAGAGGGUGCUCAAGACUUGUAAGGUAUUCAGUUUUUUCCGAGGAACUGGAGUACUUGAACUUGGAUUUCACGGCAAUUGAAGAACUUCCUCACAACCUCAACCUCUUACCAAAGUUAAAAAAAACUAUCAUUAAGAGGAAGUGAUAUUGAGAUAUUGCCUGCUAGCAUACAACAUCUCUCCUUGUUGAGAGCUCUCGAUGUAAGUAACUGCAGGAGGUUUCGUUCCAUGCCCAAACUCCCAUUAUUGCUACAAGACUUGAAUGCAAG
rnacentral:lncRNA from 1 species